UCCUUCUUUGUGAGAUCGAGGACACCGUUUUGGAUGGGAUUCGUGCUCGUCGGCAGUUGCCCUAUGCUCACUACUUGUGCCACAUCUUUGCGCAGCUGAUUCAACCUCCUCGGUUUCAGGGCACACUUGAGGCCUCACGCCUCGUUUUUGGAUCCUACCGUCCUGCGCCUGAGACCCAUGUGCCGGCUUCUGCUCCUGUUUUUGACUCUCAGGCCGAGGACGCUGCUCUUCGUCAGUUCGACACUCAGGCUACAACAGUUGAUGAUGUUGUUGUUGUUGUUGAUGAUGAUGAUUUUGGGGUUCCUCCUCUGCCUCCUAUGCCUCCACGCUCACAUGAUCAUGAGGCUGGGAGUUCUAGUGCUACCCCUGCUGCCCCUCCGGCUAUGGACCCUGCUCUUGCUUCGAUUCUGGCUCACCUGGCAGCCGAGCAGGCCCGGUUAUCUGAGCAGAUGCUCUCAAUGUUUCAGAACAUGCAGGACAGGCAGGAUGCGCUUCAGCAGCAGCUUCUUCAGGAUCGGGCUGAGAACAGGGCAUUCAUGGCUCUUAUGCUACAGCAGUCUGGUGUCUCAGUUCCUCUAGUUCAGUCUGCUCCACCUCCUCCGCUUCACGCUCCAGUUGUGCCAGCGAUUUUGUCAGGACCCCUGUUGGUACUUCUCCGCUCCGGCCGGUCACUUUGGCUUUCACCUCUCCGGCUCUCAGCUCUGUCUGCCCGCAGCCACCAGUGCCACCAGCAUCUGCUGUUACCACUACUGCUAUGGCAGUAUCUGUGACCACUUCUGUUCCGGUAGCUCCUGCAGCGCGGCCUCAGUCUGAGUCAGUACCAGCUCUAGCUUCUACCACAGAUCCUGGAUCCGAGACUGACUCUGACCCCCCGCCGGCGUUCGCUCUGCUGCCUCGACCGCGACCGGACGCGCCCCCGCCGCCUCCUCCCGCUUCAGAUGUUUAGGUUCGGGUGCCCUUUUGGUGUUUGACGCCAAAGGGGGAGAGAUAUGAGUUGUGAGAGCUAGGGGGAGUUAGAGAGUUAGUAGAGAGUCAUUUUGGUGUAAUACAUGUGCUUGCUGCUUGCUACUCUCUGUACUAGCUUGAUGUUUUUGGCUCACAAACUCGAUAUAUACUCUCGUUGCUUAUGAUUGACUGUGUGUAUUAUGUUUUCACCUUAUAUUUUAUCACCAGUCUUCUUGUUCUUGUUUCAUUGAUUUAACUUCACUUUCAUAUGAACAAGAAUCUUAUGUUGUGUAUGUGCUCACUCUUAUUAUUAUGGUACACGUUCUUUCUGUCAAAGAUUACUGAGUAUAACUAACCAUCCUUCCUAUUGACAGAAACUUCAAAACAAACUACUCUCACAAAACUUGUAAGGUUGUCAUCAAUCACCAAAAAGGGGGAGAUUGAAAGCAUCUAGGCCCCUGGUUGGUUUUAGUGAUUAAUGAUAACGUAAUAUUAUAUGUGACUAACGUGUGUUUUGCAGAGACAAAUGGUAAGUUAGGUCGCAUGACAGGUAGAAGUACUACAACGGUGAAAACAAUUCCGGAGAUAAGAACUCGAAGCGACGGCUAAAACGACGAAACAAAAGGUGAAGGUCUACGGAGUCCGAGUGUCAAGGAGAUGUGGACACUCGUGAUUUAGUUAGGUCUUUUAUUCUCUUUUAGCCGUACUAUAAAGAGGGGUUGUCGAUGAGUAGUUUGACCAAGAGAGUUCUAGUAUAGUGUUGGUGCACAAUCACACCCACAUAAAGUGCUAGGUGUCACUCUAGAACUCACUCACAAGUUAGAACGAAAACCGAUUUGAAAAACAAGAAGUAGGGUUUCUGUCCCUGGGGGCACCGGACUGUCCGGUGUGCACCGGGCUGUUCGGUGUGCACCGGACUGUCCGGUGCACCCUCUGCGAGGAAGAAGCUUCCUCCACAGAAAACCCGAGAGCGCCUGUUUCAGAGUUGAAUUUUAGUGGCGCACCGGACUGUCCGGUGUGCACCGGACAGUGACUGUUCACUGUCCGGUGUGCCAUGAGUCCAACGGCUAGCUGUCAGAACUAGCCGUUGGAAACGACCGUUGGCGCACCGGUGGCGCACCGUUGGCACACCGGUGGCGCACCGGACUGUCCGAUGCGCCAUUGCGCAGUGAGAUGUCUGUAACGGCUAGUUGGUGGGUGAGGGCUAUUUAUACCCCCUCCACCCACCAUAUUCAAUGUCUUGCACUCCACAUUUAUUCCAGCACAUUGCUAGAGCAUUGCAAGCACCAAAAGCCUAGUGAGGAGAUUAGAGAAUCUUAAUCCGCGUUUGUUCCUCAUUAGCGCUAGCGAGAGCCACCUAGAGCACACACCACUUGCAUUAGGCUUCUCUUGGUCAAGCGAAAGUCUACGGCUUGUUACUCUUGGUGAUCGGCAUCACCUAGACGGCUUGGUGGCGUUGGGAGCUCGGUGAUCACCGUGAAGAUCUUGUUGGUGACCCGACUCAAGUUUGUAAGCGGUCUCGAGGGAUCCACCGCGCCGGAGUGGCAAAGGAUCAUCUCGUAGUGAGCACUUGGUUCUUGCGAGGACCAAGGGGGAGCGAUACCCUUGCGCGGGUGCUCCAACGAGGACUAGUGGAGAGUGCCGACUCUUCGAUACCUCAGGAAAAAUUGGAGGAGUCUUCUAAACCUUGCUUUACAUUCCGCACUUAAUUCAAGCACUUUACAUUGUGUAUUUGUUUAGCAAGUAUUUGAAGUAUUGUUUUAGCAUUGUUGCAUUUCUAGUAUUAUUUUCUUAGUGCUAGUAGUUGGGGUGAAGUUGGGCUCUUGCUUAGCUCUUGCUUAGGUUUUAAUUAGUGUUGUUUUUUAGAAAAGCCCAAUUCACCCCCCUCUUGGGCAUCGUGAUCCUUUCAAGAGGAAAAGGAAAAGGAAAAGGAUACGAAAUCGAAUGAUGUGGUGUACCUUUUUCGACGCGGUCAUUAUGGCGAAGGCGAAGCGUCGCUUGCUUCUCCUGCCUGAGGCGCCGCCUGUCCCGCCGCGGAGUUAAUGCGACGGGGCGAGUGGUUCGCGAGGCGGUCGUUGCGCGUGUCCAAGCCGUUCGAGGAACGGAUCACGGGCGCGCCGUCUUCAUGCCGUGAGAGAGGGUUCCCUCGCUGCCCCUGGAUGGGACAUAAGCUUGGCUGACGACGUGACCGCUGCUCCUGCCCGCCUGCCACUGCCAUUACUGCCGGCCCAUUUUUGACCGUAUUUGACCGUAGCGCCUGGCUGGCACUGCUGGGUCACACGCAGGGUUGCCUCAAGUUGCGGUAUUGGCUCCGCCGUCGAGGAGGCGCGGUAGUGGCGCGAGGGGCGGUGCAGUUGCUCGCACGUAGCAAUCGGCGUGCCGGUUGCAUGACGUGUGGGCCUGGGCCUCCAUGCUGUGUGCGUUGGAGUUGAAGGGGCGCGCCCACUUGGCGCGGUUGCAUGCCGACUGCAUGGCUAUCCACCCUUUCACCCGUUGGUCUGGGCGAAAGUGGAGGAAUGCUUGUAACCGCUGGGCAGUUGCAUGCCCUGCGCGCGGCGGUUUGGCUCCUUCUGCCCUGGACCAGCUUGCAUGACGCGUGGGGCCCAGCCCCCGUGUCGUAGGGGGAGGACCUUGGAGUGUGUUGGAGAAGACGCAGCCCGCGACGGCUAGGGACACGAGUCGGGAGAGUCGCCUUUAAAAGGAGGGUGAUCCCCUUGGAGGGCAACCACGUCUUCGCGCUCCCCUCAUGCAUCGUGUCUUUCCACCUUCCGAGCCCCCGGAUGGGGGACGCCCGCAGUCCUUCCGUCUUGUCGUUGGAGGAACACAACUUCGUGGAAGUUGGUACCUUUCAGCCAUCGUUCGGCUUCAAGGAUUUUCAUCAUGCAGCCCGGCUGCAUCCCCUCGCCGGUGGUCACCCAAGAUGGUGACCUCCAGCUUGAUGGCGGGGAGAAGUGAACCAGGCUGCGGCCUCUGCCCCUCCCUCAGCUUCAAGGAUGUUCAUCAUCUGUGCUGGGGAGAGGAGUGUGCCGAGUUGGGGUCGGUCCCUGCGCGGGCGGCGGCCCGCUCCUUCCCUCAGUGAUCGGGGGGAAGGGUGUUCGCCGUUCGUGGCGUUGGCAGCUGCCGCGUGCCUGGCUCUCUGGGCCGGGUGGCUUCUGAAAGGGAAUUAGGCUUACACCUAGUCCCUAAUUAUUGGCUCAAUUCCAAGCAACUUUUGCACCUACAUUAUGCAAACUAGUUCAAUUAUGCACUUCUAUAUUUGCUUUGGUUUGUGUUGGCAUCAAUCACAAAAAGGGGGAGAUUGAAAGGGAAUUAGGCUUACACCUAGUCCCUAAUUAAUUUUGGUGGUUGAAUUGCCCAACACAAAUAAUUGGACUAACUAGUUUGCUCCAGUGUAUAAGUUAUACAGGUGCCAAAGGUUCACACUUAGCCAAUAAAAAGACCAAGUAUUGGGUUCAAACAAAGGAGCAAGGGCCAACCGAAGGCACCCUGGUCUGGUGCACCGGACUGUCCGGUGCACCACCGGACAGUGUCCGGUGCACCAGGGAAGACCGACUUCAAACUCUUCACCUUCGGGAAUUCUCAGAAGCCGGCGCGUUAUAAUUCACCGGAUUGUCCGGUGUACACCGGACAGUGUCCGGUGUACACCGGACAGUGUCCGGUGCUCCACGAAGUCGCGGCUCCGAACUCGCCAGUCUCGGGAAUUCGCUUCGGCUGCUCCGCUAAAAUUCACGGACAUGUCCAGUGUACACCGGACUGUCCGGUGUAACUGCGGGGCAACAGCUACUUCUGGCGCCAACGGCUACCUGCAGCGCAUUUAAUGCGCGCCAGCGCGCGUAGAGGUCAGGCACGCCCAUGCUGGCGCACCGGACACUCUACAGUUCAUGUCCGGUGCGCCACCGGACAUCCAGGCGGGCCCAGAAGUCAGAGCUCCAACGGUCGGAACCCAACGGCUUUGGUGACGUGGCUGGCGCACCGGACAUGUCCGGUGUGCACCGGACUGUCCGGUGCACCAUUCGACAGCCAGCCUGCACCAAACGGCUAGUUUGGUGGUUGGGGCUAUAAAUACCCCCAACCACCCCUCAUUCAAGUCAUCCAAGUUUUCCACUUCUCAACCACUUACAAGAGCUCUAGCAUUCAAUUCUAGACACACCUAAGUGAUCAAAUCCUCUCCAAACUCCACACAACGCCUUAGUGAUUAGUGAGAGAGAUUUGCUUGUGUUCUUUCGAGCUCUUGCGCUUGGAUUGCUUUCUUCUCUCUUUGAUUCUUCAUUGCGAUCAAACUCACUUGUAAUUAAGGCAAGAGACACCAAUCUUGUGGUGGUCCUUGUGGGAACUUUGUGUUCCAAACAUUUGAGAAGAGAAAGCUCACUCGGUCCGCGGGAUCGUUUGAGAGAGGGUAAGGGUUGAAAGAGACCCGACCUUUGUGGCCUCCUCAACGGGGAGUAGGUUUGCGAGAACCGAACCUCGGUAAAACAAAUCCUGGUGUCACACUCCUUAUUCGCUUGCGAUUUGUUUUGCACCCUCUCUCGCGGACUCGUAUUUAUUUCUAGCGCUAACCCGUCUCGUAGUUGUGUUUAUAUUUGUAAAUUUCAGUUUCGCCCUAUUCACCCCCCCCCCCUCUAGGCGACUUUCAAUUGGUAUCAGAGCCCGGUGCUUCAUUAGAGCCUAACCGCUCGAAGUGAUGUCGGGAGAUCACACCAAGAGGGAGAUGGAGACCGGCGACAAGCCCACUACGAGCCACGGGAGCACUUCAUCGGAAGAGUCCCGCACCAAGAGGAAGGAGAAGAAGAAGGACUCCUCCAAACGGAAGGAGAAAAGAUCUUCUUCUUCACACCACAAAGAGAAGAAGGAAAAAUCUUCCUCCCACAAGUCGCAUCGGAAAGGCGACAAGCACAAGAGGAUGAGGAAGGUGGUCUACUACGAGACCGACACUUCAUCAACGUCGACCUCCGGCUCCGAUGCGUCGUCCGUAACUUCUAAGCGCCAAGAGCGCAAGAAGUUUAGUAAGAUCCCCUUACACUAUCCUCGUACAUCUAGACAUACUCCAUUACUUUCCGUUCCAUUAGGCAAACCGCCAACCUUUGAUGGCGAAGAUUAUGCUAGGUGGAGUGAUUUAAUGAAAUUUCAUCUAACCUCACUCCACAAAAGUAUAUGGAAUGUUGUUGAGUUUGGAGCACAGGUACCAUCCAUAGGGGAUGAAGACUAUGAUACGGACGAAGUGGCCCAAAUUGAGCACUUCAAUUCCCAAGCCACAACCAUUCUCCUCGCCUCUCUAAGUAUAGAGGAAUAUAACAAGGUGCAAGGAUUGAAGAAUGCGAAGGAGAUUUGGGACUUACUCAAGAUCGUGCACGAAGGUGAUGAACUCACCAAGAUCACCAAGCGGGAAACGAUCGAGGGGGAGCUCGGUCGCUUCCGUCUUCGCCAAGGGGAGGAGCCACAAGAUAUGUACAACCGGCUCAAAACCUUGGUGAACCUAGUGCGCAACCUCGGGAGCAAGAAGUGGGACGACCACGAGGUGGUUAAGGUUAUUUUAAGAUCACUUAUUUUCCUUAACCCCACUCAAGUUCAAUUAAUUCGUGGUAACCCAAGAUAUACACUAAUGACUCCCGAGGAAGUAAUCGGGAAUUUUGUGAGCUUUGAAUGUAUGAUUAAAGGUUCAAAGAAGAUCAACGAGCUUGAUGAACCCUCCACGUCCGAAGCACAACCGGUGGCAUUUAAGGCGACGGAGGAGAAGAAGGAGGAGUCUACACCGAGUAGACAACCAAUUGACGCCUCCAAGAUCGACAAUGAGGAGAUGACUUUAAUCAUCAAAAGCUUUCGCCAAAUCCUCAAGCAACGGAAGGGGAAGGAUUACAAAUCCCGUUCCAAGAAGGUUUGCUACAAGUGUGGUAAGCCUGGUCACUUUAUUGCUAAAUGUCCAUUAUCAAGUGACAGUGACAGGGAUAACGACAAGAAGGGCAAGAGAAGAGAAAAGAAAAGGUACACAAGAAGAAGGGCGGCGAUGCCCACGUGUGCCGCGAAUGGAACUCCGACGAGAGCUCCACCGACUCCUCCUCCGACGACGAGGACGCCGCCAACAUCGCCGUCACCAAGGUACUUCUCUUCGCCAACGUCGGCCACAAGUGCCUCAUGGCCAAGGACGGCAAAAGGAAGAAGGUUAAAUCUAAAUCCUCCACUAAAUAUGAGUCCUCUAGUGAUGAUAAUGCUAGUGAUGAGGAAGAUAACUUGCGUACCCUUUUUGCCAACCUUAACAUGGAACAAAAGGAAAAAUUAAAUGAAUUAAUUAGUGCUAUUCAUGAAAAGGAUGACCCUUUGGAUUCCCAAGAGGACUUCCUAAUUAAGGAAAACAAGAAACAUGUUAAGGUUAAAAAUGCUUAUGCUCUACAAGUUGAAAAAUGUGAAAAUUGUCUAGUGAGCUGAGUACUUGCCAUGAGACUAUUGACAACCUUAGAAAUGAAAAUGCCAAAUUAAUUGCUAAGGUUGAUUCUCAUGUUUGUAAUAUUUCAACUUCCAAUCCUAGAGAUGAUAAUGUGGACCUUCUUGCUAGGAUUGAUGAGUUGAAUGUUUCUCUUGGUAGCCUUAGAGAUGAGAAUGAGAAAUUGAUUACUAAGGCUAAAGAAUUAGAUGUUUGCAAUGUUACAAUUUCCAAUCUUAGAGAUAACAAUGAUAUUUUGCGUGCUAAGAUUGUUGAACUUAAUUCUUGCAAACCCUCUACAUCUACUAUUGAGCAUGUGUCUAUUUGUGAUAGAUGUAGAGAUGUUGAUAUCAAUGCUAUUCAUGAUCACAUGGUAUUAAUUAAACAACAAAAUGAUCAUAUAGCAAAAUUAGAUGCUAAAAUUGCCGAGCAUAACUUAGAAAAUGAAAAGUUUAAAUUUGCUAGAAGUAUGCUCUAUAAUGGGAGACGCCCUGGCAUCAAGGAUGGCAUUGGCUACCAAAGGGGAGACAAUGUCAAACUUAGUGCCCCUCCUAAAAGAUUGUUUAAUUUUGUUAAGGGCAAGGCUCCCAUGCCUCAGGAUAACGAGGGUUACAUUUUGUACCCUGCCGGUUAUCCCGAGAGCAAAAUUAGGAAAACUCAUUCUAGGAAGUCUCACUCUGGCCCUAAUCAUGCUUUUAUGUAUAAGGGUGAGACAUCUAGCUCUAGGAAACCAACCCGUGCCAAGUUGCCUAGAAAGAAAACUCCUAAUGCAUCAAAUGAUCAUAAUAUUUCAUUUAAAACUUUUGAUGCAUCUUAUGUUUUGACUAACAAAUCCGGCAAGGUAGUUGCCAAGUUUGUUGGGGGCAAACACAAGGGCUCUAAGACUUGUGUUUGGGUACCCAAAGUUCUUGUUUCUAAUGCCAAAGGACCCAAAACCGUUUGGGUACCUAAAGUCAAGAACUAAAAUUGUUUUGUAGGUUUAUGCAUCCGGGGGCUCAAGUUGGAUACUCGAUAGCGGGUGCACAAACCACAUGACAGGGGAGAAGAAGAUGUUCUCCUCAUAUGAGAAAAACCAAGAUCCCCAACGAGCUAUCACAUUCGGGGAUGGAAACCAAGGUUUGGUCAAAGGUUUGGGUAAAAUAGCUAUAUCUCCUGACCAUUCCAUUUCCAAGGUUUUUCUUGUAGAUUCUUUAGAUUACAAUUUGCUUUCCGUAUCCCAAUUAUGUCAAAUGGGCUACAACCGUCUAUUUACUGAUGUAGGUGUCACUGUCUUUAGAAGAAGUAAUGAUUCAAUAGCAUUUAAGGGAGUGUUAGAGGGUCAGCUAUACUUAGUAGAUUUUGAUAGAGCUGAACUCGACACUUGCUUGGUUGCUAAGACUAACAUGGGUUGGCUCUGGCACCGCCGACUAGCUCAUGUUGGAAUGAAGAAUCUUCAUAAGCUUCUAAAGGGAGAACACAUUUUAGGACUAACAAAUGUUCAUUUUGAGAAAGACAGGAUUUGUAGCGCAUGCCAAGCCGGGAAGAAAGUUGGCACUCAUCAUCCACACAAGAACAUCAUGACAAGUGACAGGCCACUGGAGCUCCUACACAUGGAUUUAUUCGGCCCGAUCGCUUACAUAAGCAUCGGCGGGAGUAAGUACUGUCUAGUUAUUAUGGAUGAUUAUUCUCGCUUCACUUGGGUGUUCUUUUUGCAGGACAAAUCCCAUACCCAAGAGACAUUAAAGGGAUUCUUGAGAUGGGCUCAAAAUGAGUUCGGCUUAAGGAUCAAGAAAAUUAGAAGCGACAACGGGACGGAGUUCAAGAACUCACAAAUAGAAGGCUUCCUUGAGGAGGAGGGCAUCAAGCAUGAGUUCUCUUCUCCCUACACCCCACAACAAAAUGGUGUAGUGGAGAGGAAGAAUCGAACUCUAUUGGACAUGGCAAGAACCAUGCUUGAUGAGUACAAGACACCGGAUCGGUUUUGGGCCGAGGCGGUCAACACCGCCUGCUACGCUAUCAACCGGUUAUAUCUACACCGAAUCCUUAAGAAGACAUCCUAUGAACUCCUAACCGGUAAAAAGCCCAAUAUUUCAUAUUUUAGAGUUUUUGGUAGCAAAUGCUUUAUUCUUGUUAAAAGAGGUAGAAAAUCUAAAUUUGCUCCUAAAACUGUAGAAGGCUUUUUACUAGGAUAUGAUUCAAACACAAGGGCAUAUAGAGUCUUUAACAAGUCCUCAGGACUAGUUGAAGUUUCUUGUGACGUUGUGUUUGAUGAGACUAACGGCUCUUAAGUAGAGCAAGUUGAUCUUGAUGAGAUAGGUGAAGAACAGGCUCCGUGCAUAGCGCUAAGGAACAUGUCCAUUGGGGAUGUGUGUCCUAAGGAAUCCGAAGAGCCUCCACAUGCACAAGAUCAACCAUCCUCCUCCACGCAAGCAUCUCCACCAACUCAAAAUGAGGACGAGGCUCAAGUUGAUGAAGGAGAAGAUCAAAGAGAUGAGCCACCUCAAGAUGAUGGCAAUGAUCAAGGGGGAGAUGCAAAUGAUCAAGACAAGGAGGAUGAAGAACCAAGGCCGCCACACCCAAGAGUCCACCAAGCAAUACAACGAGAUCACCCCGUCGACAUCAUCCUCGGCGACAUUCAUAAGGGGGUAACCACUAGAUCUCGUGUUGCACAUCUUUGUGAGCAUUACUCUUUUGUUUCCUCUAUUGAGCCACACAGGGUAGAGGAAGCACUCCAAGAUUCGGAUUGGGUGAUGGCGAUGCAAGAGGAGCUCAACAACUUCACUAGGAAUGAGGUAUGGCAUUUAGUUCCACGUCCUAACCAAAAUGUUGUAGGAACCAAAUGGGUCUUCCGCAACAAGCAAGACGAGCAUGGUGUGGUGACAAGGAACAAAGCUCGACUCGUGGCCAAGGGGUAUUCACAAGUCGAAGGUUUGGAUUUUGGUGAAACCUAUGCACUCGUAGCUAGGCUUGAGUCAAUUCGCAUAUUAUUAGCCUAUGCUACUUACCAUGGCUUCAAGCUUUAUCAAAUGGACGUGAAGAGUGCCUUCCUCAAUGGACCAAUCAAGGAAGAGGUCUACGUUGAGCAACCUCCCGGCUUUGAAGACAGUGAGUACCCUAACCAUGUUUAUAGGCUCUCUAAGGCGCUUUAUGGGCUCAAGCAAGCCCCAAGAGCAUGGUAUGAAUGCCUUAGAGAUUUCCUUAUUGCAAAUGGCUUCAAAGUCGGCAAGGCCGAUCCUACUUUAUUCACUAAAACUCUUGACAAUGAUUUGUUUGUGUGCCAAAUUUAUGUUGAUGAUAUUAUAUUUGGGUCUACUAACGAAUCUACAUGUGAAGAAUUUAGUAGGAUCAUGACACAAAAAUUCGAGAUGUCUAUGAUGGGGGAGUUGAAGUAUUUUCUAGGAUUCCAAGUCAAGCAACUCCAAGAGGGCACCUUCAUUAGCCAAACAAAGUAUACUCAAGACAUUCUAAGCAAGUUUGGAAUGAAGGAUGCCAAACCCAUCAAGACACCCAUGGGAACAAAUGGGCAUCUCGACCUCGACACGGGAGGUAAGUCCGUGGAUCAAAAGGUAUACCGGUCGAUGAUUGGUUCAUUGCUUUAUUUAUGUGCAUCUCGACCGGACAUUAUGCCUUUCGUUUGCAUGUGUGCAAGAUUCCAAGCCGACCCUAAGGAAUCACACCUUACGGCCGUAAAACGAAUCUUGAGAUAUUUGGCUUAUACUCCUAAGUUUGGGCUUUGGUACCCUCGGGGAUCCACAUUUGAUUUGAUUGGUUAUUCGGAUGCCGAUUGGGCGGGGUGCAAAAUUAAUAGGAAGAGCACAUCGGGGACUUGCCAGUUCUUGGGAAGAUCCUUGGUGUCUUGGGCUUCAAAGAAGCAAAAUUCGGUCGCUCUUUCUACCGCCGAAGCCGAGUAUAUCGUCGCAGGCCAUUGUUGCGUGCAAUUGCUUUGGAUGAGGCAAACCCUGCGGGACUAUGGUUACAAAAUAACUAAAGUUCCUUUUCUAUGUGAUAAUGAGAGUGCAAUCCGCAUGGCGGAUAAUCCCGUUGAGCAUAGCCGCACUAAACAUAUAGCCAUUCGGUAUCAUUUUCUUAGGGAUCACCAACAAAAGGGGGAUAUCGAGAUUGCAUACAUUAAUACUAAAGAUCAAUUAGCCGAUAUCUUUACAAAGCCACUUGAUGAACAAACUUUUACCAAACUUAGGCAUGAGCUCAAUAUUCUUGAUUUUAGGAAUUUCUUUUGCUAGUUUGAACACAUAGCACACAAGUAUACCUUUGAUCAUGUCUCUUUUAUAUGCUAUGACUAAUGUGUUUUCAAGUGUAUUUCAAAACAAGUCAUAGGCAUAUUGAAAGGGAAUUGGAGUCUUCGGCGAAGACAAGGCUUCCACUCCACUCUACUACUCAUCCUUCGCCGAUGCUCCGCAUCACUAUCCGUCUUUGGUAUAAUCUUCACUCACAUGUCUUAUUUGCCAAAGGGGGGAAUAUAGUUAUCAAGGGCUUAUAUCUCACUCAAAGUAUCCGUUUUUGGCGAUUCAUGCCAAAGGGGGAGAAAGUAUGAGCCCAAAGCAAAAGGACCGCACCACCACCCUAAUUUUAAAAAUUAAUGGUUUUCAAUUGGAAAAUUUCAAAUUGGUAUCUCUUUGUGUUCUAAAGGGGGAGCUAGUAGUAUUUUCAAAAUUUGAUGUCUUAAAACCCUCUUGAAUGCUAAGAGAAGAAUUUAUUGAGGGGGAGUUUUGUUUAGUCAAAGGAAAAGCAUUUGAAACAAAGGGAGAAAAUUUCAAACUUGAAAAUGCUUCUCAAAAUCUUAUUCAUUUACCUUUGACUAUUUGCAAAAGAACUUUGAACAGGAUUUACAAAAGAAUUUGCAAAAACAAAAUCUGUGGUGCAAGCGUGGUCCAAAAUGUUAAAAAAAAAUAAAGAAACAAUCAAUGCAUAUCUAGUAGGUGAUAUUUAUUGGCUCAAUUCCAAGCAACUUUUGCACCUACAUUAUGCAAACUAGUUCAAUUAUGCACUUCUAUAUUUGCUUUGGUUUGUGUUGGCAUCAAUCACAAAAAGGGGGAGAUUGAAAGGGAAUUAGGCUUACACCUAGUCCCUAAUUAAUUUUGGUGGUUGAAUUGCCCAACACAAAUAAUUGGACUAACUAGUUUGCUCCAGUGUAUAAGUUAUACAGGUGCCAAAGGUUCACACUUAGCCAAUAAAAAGACCAAGUAUUGGGUUCAAACAAAGGAGCAAGGGCCAACCGAAGGCACCCUGGUCUGGUGCACCGGACUGUCCGGUGCACCACCAGACAGUGUCCGGUGCACCAGGGAAGACCGACUUCAAACUCUUCACCUUCGGGAAUUCUCAGAAGCCGGCGCGCUAUAAUUCACCGGAUUGUCCGGUGUACACCGGACAGUGUCCGGUGCUCCACGAAGUCGCGGCUCCGAACUCGCCAGUCUCGGGAAUUCGCUUCGGCUGCUCCGCUAAAAUUCACCGGACUGUCCGGUGUAACUGCGGGGCAACGGCUACUUCUGGCGCCAACGACUACCUACAGCGCAUUUAAUGCGCGCCAGCGCGCGCAGAGGUCAGGCACGCCCAUGCUGGCGCACCGGACACUCUACAGUUCAUGUCCGGUGCGCCACCGGACAUCCAGGCGGGCCCAGAAGUCAGAGCUCCAACGGUCGGAACCCAACGGCUUUGGUGACGUGGCUGGCGCACCGGACAUGUCCGGUGUGCACCGGACUGUCCGGUGCACCAUUCGACAGCCAGCCUGCACCAAACGGCUAGUUUGGUGGUUGGGGCUAUAAAUACCCCCAACCACCCCUCAUUCAAGUCAUCCAAGUUUUCCACUUCUCAACCACUUACAAGAGCACUAGCAUUCAAUUCUAGACACACCUAAGUGAUCAAAUCCUCUCCAAACUCCACACAACGCCUUAGUGAUUAGUGAGAGAGAUUUGCUUGUGUUCUUUCGAGCUCUUGCGCUUGGAUUGCUUUCUUCUCUCUUUGAUUCUUCAUUGCGAUCAAACUCACUUGUAAUUAAGGCAAGAGACACCAAUCUUGUGGUGGUCCUUGUGGGAACUUUGUGUUCCAAACAUUUGAGAAGAGAAAGCUCACUCGGUCCGCGGGAUCGUUUGAGAGAGGGUAAGGGUUGAAAGAGACCCGGCCUUUGUGGCCUCCUCAACGAGGAGUAGGUUUGCGAGAACCGAACCUCGGUAAAACAAAUCCUCGUGUCACACUCCUUAUUCGCUUGCGAUUUGUUUUGCACCCUCUCUCGCGGACUCGUAUUUAUUUCUAACGCUAACCCGUCUCGUAGUUGUGUUUAUAUUUGUAAAUUUCAGUUUCGCCUUAUUCACCCCCCCUCUAGGCGACUUUCAGCUUCGGAGCCACUCCCGGCGCCGCCUUCCGCCACGGCAGCCGGAAGAGGUUUCUCCGCCGAUGAGCUAGCCGGUGCCGCCCACGGACUGACCUCCAACUCUAUGGCCUUCUGCCCGUCCUUGCCUAUCGAGUUGGGGCCAUGGGCGAGGGCCUCAUGGCAGCAGCAUCCGCCCUGAGGUCAUCGCUGCUGCUGUUCGGCCCUCCGGAGCAGAAGUUGUCGUCGUCAUCGCUGCUGGGGCAGACGACGACGAGCCGUUCUUCAGUCUUCUGUUGCUCCGCAGGCCCUUCAAUCGUGUGGGUUUGUUCGUGCCUGCGGAGGUGGAACCGGAGUUCCGUUUGUAAUGGCACUUUGAGUGCCGGUGUCUUGUUCAUCGUGGUUGUCGGGGCUUGAACAUGUAUGUAUCUUCGGCGCGGAGCCGUGUUUUUUCUUCAUUUCGAGCACUAAGACUCGCCUGUUGGUUAUCUGAACCGCUUCACCAAGCGUGAGUCGCCUCGUGCGAAGGUGACAAGUGAGGUAUUCGUAUCCCGGAGGCGUAGGGGUCCCUCGGCUCGGUCGGCCUUGCUGUCCGAGGCUUCUCUUGCUUAGUUAAAGGAACCCAUCGGCCGCCCUUCGAUGAGCCGAAGCCGGAGGUAGCGGUGUCAGCACGGGCAGAGGCAGGGUUGGCUUCGAAAAGAAGAUGUGAUCGGCUAGAGCCUGGCCGGGUCGUCCUCUGGCGGGACUGACGCCGGAGUCGAGUUGCCGAGGCCACAAGCCGGGCUAAUGUCUUCAGGGGACAGCUGGCCGAGGCCUCGGGGUGGCCGGUCGAGCCGUCUGCUCGAGCCGGAUUCCUGGAGAAGACCCUGGCGGCGAUGGCCCGGGUGUGGUGUUGAUGUCGUCCUUCAGAGUGGAGAUCCUCCGACCGCGUCGCCGUCCGAGGCUAGGUCAGACCCCGCCGAAGGUGUAGUUGGCGUCGAGGGUGCUGCUGCCCCCUUCAACUAUCGACGUCCGAGCCUGCAGGAUCGGGUUGUCUUGUAGUGUGUGUAUGUUUUCUGCGGCCGCCGAGGCCCAGACACACUGUCGUCGUGUUGUAAAGCUGCGUUUCUUUUCCUCUUGUUUUGAGUAUCCGGACUUAUUUGUCAAUAACAGAAUUGUUUGUGCGGGCGAGAGUUGCUUUUCACGGAAGGUGAUGAGUGAGGUAUCCGUAUGCCGGAGGCGUAGGAAUCCCUCGGCUCGGUCGGCCUUACCGUUUACGCGCACUCUUACUCGUCCAUAGGGUUCUGUCACCGACGCAGUCGAGAAGGCCCGAAAAACCGUUCCGGCAGAGGAGCUUUCGUGCGUGAAGACUUGUCCGGUCCGCGGAAUCACUUAUUCGAGCGCGAGUUACUUAUCGCAGAAGGUGAUGAGUGAGGUAUCCGUAUCCCGGAGGCGUAGGAGUCCCUCGGCUCGGUCAGCCUUGACUGCUUACGUGUACUCCGUCGUUUUCAGGAUCCACUUUCGAAGUAGUCGAAAAGCACGAAAACCAUUCUGGCAGAAAAGAUUUUUUUUCUUUUUUCGAGGAAAAUUUCGACGCAGAGGGGGUUCCCCCCUUCUAGCCCCCGAGGGAGGGUCGGGCUUUGCCGAGGCAAGGCUGACCCUUCCUUGAUGACCAGACUUUGUGUGUGAACGAGGUAUACGAACAACUUGAAAGCAUCUUAAGGGUAGAAGCGACGUAGCUGUUGGAUGUUCCAAGCGUUGCUGUAGACCUCGCCUUGACUGUUGGCCAGCUUGUAUGUUCCAGGCUUCAGAACCUUGGCGAUGACGAACGGCCCUUCCCAGGGAGGCGUGAGCUUAUGCCGCACUCGGGCGUCUUAUCUUAGCCGAAGCACCAGGUCGCCCACCUGGAGGUCUCGGGACCGAACCCCUCGGGCGUGGUAGCGUCGCAGGGACUGCUAGUACCGCGCUGAGUGUAGUAAAGCCAUGUCCCGAGCCUCUUCAAGCAGGUCCAGUGAGUCUUCUCGAUUGGCUUGAUUGCUUUGGUCGGCGUAGGCCCUCGUCCUCGGGGAACCGUAUUCUAAGUCUGUGGGCAAGAUGGCCUCGGCCCCAUAGACUAGAAAGAACGGUGUGAAGCCCGUGGCUCGGCUCGGCGUCGUCCUUAGACUCCAGACCACCGAGGGGAGCUCCUUCACCCAUUGCUUGCCGAACUUGUUGAGGUCGUUGUAGAUCCGAGGCUUGAGUCCUUGUAGAAUCAUGCCGUUGGCACGUUCUACCUGCCCAUUCGUCAUGGGGUGAGCCACGGCGGCCCAGUCCACCCGGAUGUGGUGAUCCUCGUAGAAGUCCAGGAACUUUCUACCGGUGAACUGGGUGCCAUUGUCGGUGAUGAUGGAGUUCGGGACCCCAAAGCGAUGGAUGAUGUUGGUGAAGAAUGCCACCGCCUGUUCGGACCUGAUGCUGUUUAGGGGUCGGACCUCGAUCCACUUGGAGAAUUUGUCGAUGGCGACCAGCAGGUGCGUGUAGCCCCCGGGUGCCUUCUGCAAGGGGCCAACGAGGUCCAGACCCCACACAGCAAAUGGCCAGGUGAUGGGUAUGGUCUGCAGAGCUUGAGCGGGCAGGUGGGUCUGCCUCGCGUAGAACUGACACCCUUCGCAGGUGCGGACGAUUCUAGUGGCGUCGGCCACCGCCGUCGGCCAGUAGAAACCUUGUCAGAAGGCGUUCCCAACAAGGGUUCGAGGUGCUGCGUGAUGGCCGCAAGCCCCCGAGUGUAUCUCUUGUAAGAGCUCCUGGCCUUCGGUGAUGGAAAUGCAUCGCUGGAGGAUGCCCGAGGGGCUGCGGUGGUAGAGCUCCUUCCCAUCUCCCAGCAAGACGAAAGACUUGGCGCGCCGCGCCAACCGCCGAGCUUCGGCUUGGUCGAGGGGUAGCUCUCCUUGGUGGAGAUAUUGCAGGUACGGGGUCUGCCAGUUUUGAUUAGGCGUGACCUCGCUCUACUCCCCCUCGACGCGCAGUGCCUCACCCUCGGGGGCCGAGGGUACCUCGGGCCGAGCCGAGGGUACCUCAGAUCGUGCCGAGGGUACCUCGGACUGAGCCGAGGGUGCCUCGGGCUCGGGCGUGUCGUCGGUCUUGAUGGAGGGUUGAUGCAGGUCUCGGGAGAAUACGUCCGGGGGAACUGUUGUUCGCCCCGAGGCUAUUUUAGCCAGCUCGUUUGCAGUCUCGUUGUAGCGUCGGGCGAUGUGGUUGAGCUCGAGCCCGUAGAACUUGUCUUCCAGGCGCCGAACCUCAUCGCAGUAGGCUUCCAUCUUCGGGUCGUGGCAGUGGGAGUUCUUCAUGACUUGGUCGAUGACGAGCUGCGAGUCACCGAGAGCGUCGAGGCGUCGGACCCCUAGCUCGAUGGCGAUUCGCAACCCGUUUACCAGAGCCUCGUACUCAGCCACGUUGUUGGACGCCGGGAAGUGGAGGCGUAGCACGUAGCGUAGGUGCUUCCCGAGGGGCGAGAUGAAGAGCAGGCCCGUGCCGGCCCCCGUCUUCAUCAACGACCCAUCGAAAAACAUGGUUCAGAGCUCCGGUUGGAUCGGAGCUAUCGGGAGCUGGGUGUCGACCCAUUCAGCCACGAAGUCCGCCAAGACCUGGGACUUGAUGGCCUUCCGAGGGGCGAACGAGAUCGUCUCGCCCAUGAUCUCCACCGCCCACUUUGCAAUUCUACCCGAGGCCUCUCGGGACUGGAUGAUCUCUCCCAGGGGGAAGGAUGACACCACAGUCACCGGAUGAGACUCGAAGUAGUGUCGCAACUUCCGCCGUGUCAGGAUCACCGUGUACAGCAGCUUCUGGAUUUGUGGGUAGCGGAUCUUGGUCUCGGACAAUACCUCACUGAUGAAGUAGACUGGCCUCUGGACAGGCAACGCAUGCCCUUCUUCUCGUCUCUCAACCACAAUCGCGGCGCUAACCACCUGAGUGGUCGCGGCGACGUAGAUCAAGAGGGCUUCUCCGGCAGCGGGGGGCACCAAGAUGGGCGCGUUUGUGAGGAGCGCCUUCAGGUUUCCGAGGGCUUCCUCGGCCUCAGGGGUCCAAGCGAAGCACUUGUCCUUCCUUAAGAGGCGGUACAGAGGCAGGUCUCUUUCGCCGAGGCGCGAGAUGAAACGGCUCAGAGCCGCGAGGCAUCCCAUGACCCUCUGUACGCCUUUCAAGUCCUUGAUGGGCCCCAUGCUGGUGAUGGCUGCGAUCUUCUCCGGGUUGGCUUUGAUGCCCCGCUCGGAGACGAUGAACCCCAAGAGCAUGCCUCGGGGGACCCUGAAGACACACUUUUCGGGAUUGAGCUUCACGCCUUUCGCCUUGAGACAUCGGAAUGUCACUUCAAGGUCGGAAAGGAGGUUGGAGGCCUUCCUCGUCUUGACUACGAUGUCAUCGACGUAGGCCUCGAUCGUUCGGCCGAUGUGUUCACCGAACACAUGGUUCAUGCAUCGCUGGUACGUUGCACCCGCAUUCCUCAAACCAAACGGCAUGGUAACAUAGCAGUACAUGCCGAAGGGUGUGAUGAAAGAAGUCGCGAGCUGGUCGGACUCUUUCAUCCUGAUCUGGUGAUACCCUGAGUAGGCAUUGAGGAAAGACAGGGCUUCGCACCCAGCAGUGGAAUCCACGAUUUGAUCGAUGCGAGGCAGAGGGUAGGGAACUUUCGGACAUGCUUUGUUUAGACCAGUGUAGUCUACACACAUCCGCCAUUUCCCCCUUUCUUUCUCACAAGCACAGGGUUGGCAAGCCAUUCGGGAUGGAAUACCUCUUUGAUGAACCCUGCCGCCAUUAGCUUGUGGAUCUCCUCGCCUAUGGCUCUGCGCUUUUCUUCGUCGAAUCGGCGUAGAGGUUGCUUCACGGGUCGGGCUCCAGCUCGGAUAUCCAGCGAGUGCUCGGCGACUUCCCUCGGUAUGCCGGGCAUGUCCGAGGGACUCCACGCGAAAACGUCGGCGUUUGCGCGAAGAAAGUCGACGAGCACUGCUUCCUAUUUGGGGUCGAGCUCCGAGCCGAUCCAGAUCUGCUUGGAGGCGUCGUUGCCGGGGUCGAGAGGGACAGACUUGACCGUCUCCGCUGGCUCGAAGUUGCCGGCGUGGCGCUUCACGUUGGGUGCCUCCCUUGAGAGGCUCUCUAGGUCGGCGAUGAGGGCCUCGGACUCGGCGAGGGCCUCGGCGUACUCCACGCACUCCACGUAGCAUUCGUACGCAUGUCGCUACGUGGGCCCGACGGUGAUGACCCCGUUGGGGCCCGACAUCUUGAGUUUGAGGUAGGUGUAGUUGGGGACGACCAUGAACUUGGCGUAGCAUGGCCUCCCCAGCACUGCGUGGUAGGUUCCUCGAAACCCGACCACUUCGAACGUGAGGGUCUCCCUUCGAAAGUUGGAGGGCGUCCCAAAGCAGACGGGUAGAUCGAGUUGUCCGAGGGGUUGGACGCGCUUCCCAGGGAUGAUCCCGUGGAAAGGCGCAGCGCCCGUCCGGACCGAGGACAGAUCGAUCCGCAGGAGCCCGAGGGUCUCGGCGUAGAUGAUGUUGAGGCUGCUGCCUCUGUCCAUGAGGACCUUGGUGAGCCUAACGUUGCCGAUGAUGGGGUCGACAACGAGCGGGUAUUUCCCCGGGCUCGGCACGUGGUCGGGAUGGUCGGCCUGGUCGAAGGUGAUGGGCUUGUCGGACCAGUCUAGGUAGACUAGCGCCGCCACCUUUACCGAGCAGACCUCCCGACGCUCUUGCUUGCGGUGCCGAGCCGAGGCGUUCGCCACUUGCCCGCCGUAGAUCAUGAAGCAGUCGCGGACCUUGGGGAAUUCUCCUGCCUUGUGAUCUUCCUUCUUAGCGUCGUCGAGGGCCUUGCCACCCUCCGCGGGUGGCCCGGCCUUGUGGAAGUGGCGUCGAAGCAUGGCACACUCCUCGAGGGUGUGCUUGAUGGGCCCCUAAUGGUAAGGGCACGGCUCCUUGAGCAUCUUGUCGAAGAGGUUGGCACCUCCGGGAGGUUUCCGAGGGUUUUUAUACUCGGCGGCGGCGACAAGGUCCGCGUCGGCGGCGUCGCGUUUCGCUUGCGACUUCUUCUUGCCUUUCUUCUUGGUACCGCGCUGAGUUGACGCCUCGGGAACAUCUUCCGGUGGGCGGCCCUGGGGCUGCUUGUCCUUCCGGAAGAUGGCCUCAACCGCCUCCUGGCCAGAGGCAACUUGGUGGCGAUGUCCAUCAGCUCGCUCGCCCUGGUGGGGGUCUUGCGACCCAGCUUGCUCACCAGGUCGCGGCAGGUGGUGCCGGCGAGGAACGCGCCGAUGACAUCCGAAUCGGUGACGUUGGGCAGCUCGGUGCGCUGCUUCGAGAAUCGCCGGAUGUAGUCCCGGAGAGACUCUCCCGGCUGCUGGCGGCAGCUUCAGAGAUCCCAGGAGUUUCCAGGGCGCACGUACGUGCCUUGGAAAUUGCCGGCGAAGGCUUGGACCAGGUCGUCCCAGUUGGAGAUCUGCCCCGGAGGCAGAUGCUCUAGCCAGGCUCGAGCGGUGUCGGAGAGGAACAGGGGGAGGUUGCGGAUGAUGAGAUUAUCAUCGUCCGUUCCACCCAGUUGGCAGGCUAGCCGAUAGUCCACGAGCCACAGUUCCGGUCUCGUCUCCCCCGAGUACUUUGUGAUAGUAGUCGGGGUUCGGAACCGGGUCGGGAACGGUGCCCAUCGUAUGGCGCGGCUGAAAGCCUGCGGACCGGGUGGUUCGGGCGAAGGACUCCGAUCCUCCCCGCUGUCAUAGCGUCCCCCACGUCUGGGGUGGUAGCCUCGGCGCACCCUGUCGUUGAGGUGGGCCCGACGGCUGUGAUGAUGGUGCUCGUUGCCGAGGCGACCCGGGGCCGCAGGCGCUGUGUUGCGCGUGCGCCCGGUGUGGACCGAGGCUUCCCGCAUGAAUCGGGAAGUCGCGGCGCGAUGUUCCGAGGGGUACCCCUGCCUUCAGGAGGCGGAGCUUUUGGCCCGUCGGACCGCGGCAUCCUCCAGGAGAUUCUUGAGCUCUCCCUGGAUACGCCGCCCCUCGGUGGUUGAUGGCUCCGGCAUCGCGCGGAGAAGUAUUGCCGCUGCGGCCAGGUUCUAGCCGACUCCACUGGAAUCCGGUGGCGGCCUUACCCUGACGUCGUCGGCGAUGCGGUGCUGGAUGCCCUGGGGGAGAUGACGCGCUUCUCCGACCGGAGGUUGGCCCACCCAUUCCUGCCUGAUGUCCCAGCGGAUCGGCACAAGCGUUCCUGCUCCCUCGUCGAGCCUGGCCUGCAUCUCGCGGAUUUGCUCGAGCUGUGGAUCAGGACCCCCCGCCGAAACGGGGACCACAGCUAGCUCCCGAAGGAUGUCGACGCGAGGCACGGGCCUAGGGGGAUCACCGUUUUCCAGCAUACCAAGAUGGUUGCCUUCGCCGGGACCCCCUAGAUCGACGUGGAAACAUUCGCGACUUGGGCCACAGUCCUCGUCGCUGAGGCUGCGGCUACCGUCGGAACAGUCGGAAAGGCAGUAAUCGCAUGCGGUCAUGAAGUCCUGCAUAGCACUGGGGUUACCAAGUCCGGAGAAAUCCCAACAGAGGUCGGGCUCGCCAUCUUCCUCGGACCCUGAGGGCCCGUAGGUCGAGUCGGCCGUCAGCCGGUCCCAGUGUGACCGCACACGAUACCCCAGAGGGUUUGGACUCGCCUCUAUGAGAGUGUCCACCGAAGCGGAGUCGCUUGGCGGGUCGAGGCCGAAUCCAAAAGACGCGAGACGGGAAUCGGUCGGUACCUUUUGGUCGACGGGCGGUGACGAAGUCGCGUCAGGGACUGACUGCACCGUCUUCUCAGGUACGAGGUUGACGCCCAGCAAGUCCUUCGCGAGCGUGCUGGCGUCGUUCGUUUGCUUGAGGUUGGUGUGUUGCGGGGAGAUGGCGCUCGUCUUCGUCUCAGACGCGAGGCCAAUGCCCGACGCGCUCUCCGUUGGGGCGCCGGCGCCGUCGACUCGCUCGACAGCCAACGAGGUGUCGCCUCCUGCUUGGCCUUGGUUGCCCUGCCUCCUCCUCCGUCGGCGGGGGAGGGGUCGGGACAAGCCCGAAUGUCGUCCUUCCACCACGUGGGGAAGGCGUCGUCUAUUUCCCCGCCGGCGAGCGGAUUGUCGACCGCCAUUAUCGCUGUCGCACGGUGGGGGAAGGAGUAUCAUGUCGUAGCUGCCGUUGAAGGACAUGAACUCAAGACUCCCGAAACGGAGCAUCGUCCCGGGCUGGAGAGGUUGUUGGAGACUGCCCAUCUGGAGCUUGACGGGAAGCUGUUCGUCAACACGCAGUAGGCCCCUACCUGGCGCGCCAACUGUCGGUGUUUCGAAACCCGGGGGGUCCCUGGACCUACGAGUAAAUCAUCGCCGCGUGCCCCAACCCAGAUGGGUCGGCGCGAGGCGGAACGCGAAGGGGGGAGAAGCAGCCGAAGGGAGACAAGCGUGGGAGCGUGGAACCCGCGGCCUUCGUGUUAGCCCCGCGCCCAAGUCGGGUGCGCUUGCAGUAGGGGGUUACAAGCGUCCACGUGGGAGGGAGCGAGCGGCCUUGCGCGAGCGCCGUCCCGUCCUUCCCCGCGCGGCCAACCCUCUGUAAGAGGGCCCUGGUCCUCCCUUUUAUAGGCGUAAGGAGAGGAUCCAGGUGUACAAUAGGGAGUGUAGUAAUGCGCUAACGUGUCUAGCGGGGGAGAGCUAGCGCCCUAAGUACAUGCCAUCGUGGCAGCCGGAGAGGUUUUGGCACCCAGUUCGCGUGGUGUCGUGGCCGUCGGAGGAGCGCUGGAGCCUGGCGGGAGGACAGCUGUCGGGGCUGUCGCGUCCUUGCUGACGUCCUCUUGCUUCCGUAAGGGGCCUGAGAGCCGCCGUCGUCACAGGGCAUGCGGGGCGCCAUCAUUACUCGUAUAGUGGAGCGAGCCGGAUGGGACGCCGGUCUUGUUCCCCGUAGCCUGAGUCAGCUUGGGGUAGGGUAAUGAUGGCGCUUCCUGUCGACGUGGUCGGUCCGUGCCCUAGGUUGGGCGAGGUGGAGGCCCCUCCGAGGUCGAGGUCGAGUCUGUCUUCCAAGGUCGAGGUCAAGUCCGAGCCCCCGGGUCGGACGAGGCGGAGACCGUCGGCUGAGGCCGGGGCUGAGCCCGUGUCCGAGCCCUGGGGUCGGGCGAAGCGGAGUUCGUCGUCUUCCGGGGCUGAGCCCGUGUCCGAGCCCUAGGGUCGGGCGAGGUGGAGUUUCCUAUGACGCCCGAGGCCGGACUUGGCUGCUGUCAGCCUCACUCUGUCGGGUGGCUCAGCAGUCGGAGCGGCGCAGGCGGCGCUGUCCUCUUGUCAGACCGGUCAGUAGAGCGACAAAGUGACUGCGAUCACUUUGGCUCUGUCGACUGGAGGGCGUGCGUCAGGAUAAAGGUGUGAGGCCACCUUUGCAUUAAAUGCCCCUGCGAUUUGGUCGGUUGGCGUGGCGAUUUGGCCAAGGUUGCUUCUUGGUGAAGACUGUGCCUCGGGCGAGACGUAGAUCCUCCGGGGUCGGCUGCCCUUGCCCGAGGCUGGGCUCGGGCGAGGCAUGAUCGCGUCCCUCGAAUGGACCGAUCCUUGACUUAAUCGCACCCAUCAGGCCUUUGCAGCUUUGUGCUGAUGGAGGUUACCAACUGAGAUUUAGGAGCCUUGAGGGUACCCCUAAUUAUGGUCCCCGACACUACUGUUCUCUGGUGCAUCGGACAGUCCGGCGUGUGGCACCGGACAGUCCAGUUCCACCAGUGGCAACACUAUUCUUCGUUUUUUGGACUUUCCUUGAUACUUAUUGAUCUUCACUUGUGAUCUUCGUAAUGUCUUCUUUUGAGGUGUUGCUUUUCUCAAUGCCUUAGUCCAAGUUACUUUUAGCAUCAUGUGAACUAUAAACAUAAACACUAGCAAACAUAUUAGUCCAUAUGUUAUGUUGAUCAUCAAACACCAAAAUCUAUUGAGCCAAAUGACUCAGGGACCAUUUUCUUACAACGACAAAUAAACACUUAUCGACGAAGCAAAAAUAACACACCGGUCUACUUAUAGUUAUAUGUGCAUGCAUCAUGCAUUUGGGCAUGUCCCCCUUCGCUCUCCGUUUCUCUACAAUGAUUACACUCGAAAUCCGUGCCAACCUUCUCUCUAUGCUUUCAGACUAUGUCCGGCAUGUCUCUUAGAAGAACAAUUUAUAAUUGACAUAAAACAUCUUCACAUAUAUGUCAUGUAAAAACAGUUAAACACUAACAAUGUCUGGGCACUAAACUAGCACUUAAAUUGGGCAAAAAUAGCAUCGAACAGUAAUUCAUCUUCACAUAUAGCAUAUAACGUCUGGGCACUAAACUAGCACUUAAACUGGACAAAAAAUAGCAUCUAACAGUAAUUUAUCUUCACAUAUAGCAUAUAACGUAAACAAGACUAAUAUGUCUAAACUGGCCACUAAAAAGUAGAACUUAAUCUUGGCACUAAAUCUGAUUUUCCUUAAAAAAAAUGGCGGUUUACCGUCCAAAAUAGCGAUUUAUUAGUCCAAAAUAUCGGUUGACCGACUAUUUUCGUUUUUAUAUUUUUUCCAUUUUUUAAAAAUAGGACGAUUUUUUGAAAAGAAAAAUGGUGGUUAAUCAAAACCGUGGCCUGCAAGGUUUUAGUAAAUCGACCAGUUUACUGGCAAAACUGACCAGUUUUGUAAACCCUGGAGAGGUGACUGGCAUCAUCUGAUCCAACCAAUCCAGCUAUAUGGUCCGAUCCGUCGAAAUCCGAUCCAACCAAUACAAGGGAUGAUAUAUGUUAUAGUUUUAUCCACAACAAUUCACCGAAUAGGCGCAUGCCAUGAUCAUCAUCAUUUAUCUAAAAGCCGACCUAACCUAAACCGUCAUUUAUCUAAAACCCGACCUAACCUAAACCGUGACACUGAUCCGACACCACACCGGUUAAAUACAAACCAUGCAACUGGUCCGACGAUGAGUGAGUCACCCAACACUACACGUUUACACGCUCUGGUUCAUGCAUAACUCAUCAGUCCGAUUAAAGGAUACCACCGUCGUCUGCGGCUUUAGCACUUCCUGAGGAGUGAAGCGACAAAGAACACUUUUGACUGGUCGUCCCUCCCUCGUAGUCCGAUCGCGGGAGAUGGGAACAAACAGGGACCGGAAAUCGGGACGAACGGAGUGCGAAUUAAUUAAGCAACCAACGAACAGAUUCCAUUAAUUAAAGGGCACGCACUAGUUCCUGUUGCUGCAAGCCCAGCUACAGAUGGACGACCAUGGCGGCCUUUACAUGAUAGAUAGCAGAGAGUAACUAGCAUAGCAACGAGGAAGCUAGGCAGUUACAAGCACUUGGUCGAAUCGAUCGAACUGCAGAGGAACAAGAGCAGCAACACAGGACGCGCCGCCGGCCGGCGUUCCUUUCUGAUCUGAGACCUCCGCGAGUCCAGACCGACGCAACAUAUGCUCCGCACUAGCUAGCUAGCCGGUGUAGAUGUGGAUGUGGAGCGCGAGCGUGAGGAUGGUGAAGGCGGCGAAGAAGACGAGGGUGUGGACGAAGAUGGCCUUGCCGUUGGUGUGGAAGCCGCCGAAGUCGACGUGGCGGUGGGUGCCCGGCAGCUCGCAGAGCAGGCCCGGCGAGAGCAGCACGAACAGCACCACGCCCACCACCACGGGGCCCCAGUCCGCCAUGUUUGUCGAGUCGACGGUCCGAUCCCCGAUCUCACCAGACCAGAUCACGGAGCAGAGUAGCAGGAGAGCGGGAGUGUGGAGAGGAGACUAGGAGAGGGGGAGUGUGGAGUGGUUUAUGGAUCUGCGGAGGAGAGACUAGACUAGAGUAGAGUACGGCAGCCGUCAGGAACCCGAUGCCUUGGCCCACCGCGCACCGCCCACGGCCUACCGACGGAUGGUAUACUGGUAGACAACUAGACACAGACAAUCCGAGCCGCAUGCCCUGGGCCAUGCUCACUCACACGUCCCGUCCUCGAGAGAGCGUGACGCGGCGUUGUUUGGGACUCUCUGCAGCAGUUUUAUCGCUGAAAAAAUAAAAAUAAAAAAAAAUAGAUCGGCAGGGGAUCAGAACAUGCUGGAGCGUGGUUCAAAGUUGAAGGCGCGUAACCAACUCGUCGUCGAGGCUGCGAACAGAUUAAAGGUUCUUGUUUAAUCUCGUCUUUCGAAUCGAGAGUAUUCUUACCUUUUUUGAAAGAAUAGAGGCACGAGAGUGUGCAUAUAUUUCAUUAAAAUAGAAGGAGGUUCGUUACAUCCGGCGUCUCGUACCGCUAAUCGCAUUUAGAUAAUCUGUCUAAACUCUUAGCCCCGACGUUAAUUCAGGAGCCCAUCUCCUGGCGUAGUUUCGUUCUAUGCUCAUGACUAAUGUUUCCUUGUUUCUGGAAAUUUGACCGUUCCUUUCGUUCCAAAUUUCCUAAGAUAUCAUUAGGGCUAGAGAUCGGACUAAUUUUACAUCGUGCGCCGUGGUCGUGGUGGAUGCACACCAUUCUAAAGGUGUCGAUGUCCGCGUGUCAUCCUGUUGGGUGUAGAUCCUGCUGCUUUUGUCCAAGUUGUGAUUUGAGCUCAUAUUGUCCUCGUGUAUGUGCAUUCCGCUAUCUUCGACAUAAAGGACAUAUCAGACUAUGCUGUCAUCCUCUUCUUGCUAGCCUGUCCGUCGCCCACACUUGGUUCUGUAGGAUGAGCCACAAGAAAAAACUUGCAUUUUGGUGGACCCCACGCCUUCCAAAUAGAAGCCAUAUUUGGUUCGAUGCAUGUUCCCAACAACUGAGCUUUGUAUGCCGAUGACAUCGUGUACUCACCGUUUGGUGUUAGUUUCCACGUGACUUUGUCCUCCUGGCUAGGUUGUAGUUCAAUAGUUUGCGCCAUACUCCAUAAGGCAACGAUUUUCUAUCAUUGGUGUAUGUUCAACCUACAUCUCGGAUUGAUGUCAAGUACGGAUCCAAUUAUUACUGUGAAAAACCUCCUCUAUUGUCCAAAUGUUCUUCAUAGUUCUCACGAAUAGAUGUGGUGCAAUGUCUUUCGGUGUCGCCCCUGUGCCCAUGCGGAAGCCUAGAAUCUUGUGUUGCAGAAUAGAGAAUGCGCCGCAUCUGUUGUGUAAGCGCUACUGGCAAGGGCGUAGCCACAUCUCCCUGACUUUGCACGCGUCCACAGCACCUCGCACGCAUGCGCAUGGCUCUCGGUCUUAGCCUCCGUGUCGUGAACUGUCAGGCUCCCACUUCUUCGUCACAUUCGACGACACCCAAAGCCUCUACUCGUCUGUGUACACCGGCAUCGUCUGCAUACGACGAUAGACCGCAUGCGAGAGAGGACGCCUCCGUACAGUGCGAGGAGCAGUGCAUAACUUGUUUUGGAGGCUCCGGCUCUAGCAUCCAAAUUGACUCUAGCUUCAUACGCGAAGCCAUUUUUCGCGCGCUAUUUGGGAGGGCUCCAUUAAAGAGCCGGAGCAAGAGCCGUCCGAGAGCCCUCCCAAACGGGCACUAAACCUGUACAUGCAUAGGAAAAAAGUUUGUUAAUCAGAGCAAGCCAUGAAAUCAUUGUCCUAGACUACCGCAUAACUAUAAAAUGAGCCUAGUCGUCCGUGCUUUGCUUCCAUUUUGCUACGAAACUCUAUACCUAAUGCUAAUAUAUAAAAGAGUGGCAUUCUUUUAUCUGGUACAACAGUAUAAGCUAUGCUAGCCAAGUACUGAGAUAGACAACCUAAGUGGUUGGUGAGUAGGAGAUUACUUCAUUUAUAUACGCAGCUUAAGAACUGUAGGUUACUGUUAUACCCGAUGGGUAUCAGUAACCCGUCCGAUACCUAAUAGUUACAAGCACGAGUAUAAAUUUUUACCCGUGGAUAUAAUCACGGAUGAGUAUAAUUAAUCCCCGCGGGUAUAGUCACGGACGGAUAUUUACUUUACUCGAUCUAAAUCUGACCCGUUGCCAUCCCUACUCACACAAGGAGCGUAUAAUUGGCCCUUGUAAAUCGAGAACAAGAAGAAAAAAAACUUGUUCCAUUAAUCGCCAAAACGAUUAAGAUAUAUGUAACUUCUAUAUUGAGAGCAAUGUUGAGCAAGAAAACCGCAGUGGACAGCAACAUUUUGAUAAGUUCCAGCACAAAAAAGGGUGUCAUGAAAAAGAACCGUUUUCCAAAUCGCAAAAAAAGAUAUGUAAUUGCAGCAAAAAAAAAAAGAACCUGUCAGACAACCCAUGAGCCACCCCAGCCAGGUUAGACUAGGAACGAUCCUCUACAGCACCGGAACAGGCAUCAGAGCCAAAUCCUGGCCGUUAAUCACGCUCUGGCCCACAGGUCAUGGUUCAUCAACCAGGUUUAAGUGCUUGCCUCCUUAUCAAAUCAAGGAUGCAACGGUACGAUCCUAUAGAACAGAUCCUGUUCAAGUAAGGUCGUGCUGCCAAACUCCAGAGCUAACCUUUUAAAUUUGCGUUCGCUCGUAUGAGCAAGCGAGGUGGUGCUAAUCGGGUGCGGGACUAGCCAGCAAUCCCAGCAGAUCGCGUACUGGGCCGCUCCAUUCCUGGUAUAUUGUUGCUCUCCUGUGUGUGGGCUUCAGGUCGAGAGCCUGCACCAGCUUUAUCUUGUUGAUGCCUCGCCUAAUUGUAGUUCAUUCAUUAUUUCAUUCUUCACACAGCUCAAUCAUUCGGACCUUGUCUUUAGGCCAAACAAUGACGUGCAGCAAUGACAAUGACGUGCAGUGAUUUUGCAGUUAGCCACAGAUUGGUAAUGUCGUAUUGAAUCACAAAAUAAUUGAGAUACAGACAUUUCAGUAGUAGACAACGGCACCUUAUCAGUAUCACUAAAGGCCCAUUUAUUACCAGAUAUCUUGAUGGCCAUGGCGAUGUAACUCGUUUCUGUUCUCUUUUUCCCUUUUGCAAUUGUUUUGCCAGAUGAACAUAAUAAUGAUAACAAAAAAGGGAAAAGUACAAUAUAUUAAAGUCUCUCAUAAAGGACCAAGUUUUGCCAACCGGCACUAAAGCCUGUUCGCUGUGACUUUAAUCCAUCGACUUUUAUUUUUCUACAGUAUUUUAUCUUUAUGUACUACAUCUGCAGCAGUCUUGACUUUCACCAUCUUACUAAUUGUAUGCAAGGGUACGCUUGAAUAUACUGAUGUACAGAACUGCAUAUUCAGAAGACUGCUAUAAGAAUUUGCCCGACAUAGAUCUCAGAAUAUUCAAACCAUAUAAUCCGCACCAUCAUUUCCUCUUAUGAAGGCAUCACCGUAUUUAUUCUUCAGCUGGCCAUUGACGUAUUCUUCAGUUUGCUGCAUCGCAAUGUUCAUGUAUCCAUCAAGACAAGCCAGAAUGCCCAAAGCCCCUACGCGCGCGUCUGCGUACACCGGCAUCGUCUGCAUACGACGGUAGACUGCAUGCGAGAGAGGACGCCUCCAUACAGUACGAGGAGCAGUGCAUAGCUUGUUUUGGGGCUCCGGCUCUAGCAUCCGAAUCGGCUCUAGCUCCAUAAGCCAUUGUUCGCGCGCUGUUCCGGAGGGCUCCGUUAAAGAGCGGGAGCAAGAGCCGUCCGACAGCCCUCCCAAACGGGCACUAAACCUGUACGUGCAUAGGAAAAAAAGUUUGUUAAUCAGAGCAAGACAUGAAAUCAUUGUCCUAGACUACUGCAUAACUAUAACAUGAGCCUAGUCGGUCCGUGCUUUACUUCCAUUUUGCUAUGAAACUCUAUACCUAAUGCUAAUAUAUAAGAGAGUGUCAUUCUUUUAUCUGGUACAACAGUAUAAGCUAUGCUAGCCAAGUACCGAGGUAGACAACCUAAGUGGUUGGUGAGUAGGAGAUUACUUCAUUUAUAUACGCAACUCAAGAAUUGUAGGUUACUAUUAUACCCGAUGGGUAUCAGUAACUCGUCCGAUAUCCGAUGGAUACAGACACGAGUACAAAAUUUUACCUGUGAAUAUAAUCACAGAUGAGUAUACUUAAUCCCCACGGAUAUGGUCACGGACGAAUAUUUACUUUGCCCGAUCUGAAUUUGACCUGUUGACAUCCAUACUCACACAAGGAGCGUAUAAUUGGCCCCUUGUAAAUUGAGAACAAGAAGAAAAAAACUUGCUCCAUUAAUCGCCAAAACGAUUAAGAUAUAUGUAACUUCUAUAUUGAGAGCAAUGUUGAGCAAGAAAACUGCAGUGGACAGCAACAUUUUGAUAAGUUCCAGCAUAAAAAAGAAGGAACAAUUGGAUUUAUACCAUUAAAAGAUCCAAACUUUAGAUAUAUACCAUGGACCCCACAUGUCAUUGACUCAUGUGGACCCACAUGUAAGUGAGAUAGUAAUGGUAUGGAUCCAAAGUGGUGAUCUUUUAAUGGUAUGGAUCCAAAUUUCCAAAAAAGAACCUGUCAUGAAAAAGAACUUCCAAAUCGCAAAAACAAGAUAUCUGUAACUUCUACGUUGAGAGCAAUGUUAGCAACAAAAUAAUAAACUGGUUUUUGAUAAGUUGGAGCAUACAAAAAAAGAACCUGUCAGACAACCCAUGAGCCACCCUAGCUAGGUUAGAACUGGCGAGGAACGAUCAUCUACAGCACUGGAAUAGGGCAUCAGAGCCAUUCCUGGCCGUUAAUCACGCUCUGGCCCACAGGUCAUGGUUCAUCAACCAGGUUUAAGUGCUUGCCUCCUUAUCAAUCAAGGAUGCAACGGUACGAUCCUAUAGAACAGAUCCUGUUCAAGUAAGGUCGUGGUGCCAAGCUCCAGAGCUAAGCUUUUAAAUUAGCGUUCGUUCGUCUGUGCCACCGAGGUGGUGCUAAUCGGCUGCGGGACUGGCCACUGGCCAGCAAUCCCAGCAGAUCGUGUACUGGGCCGCUCCAUUCUGGUAUAUCGUUGCUCUCCAGUGUGUGGGCUUCAGGUCGAGAGCCUGCACCAGCUUUAUCUUAUUGAUGCCUCGCCUAAUUGUAGUUCAUUCAUUCUUCACACAGCUCAAUCAUUCGUCCUCCUUGUCUUUAGGCCGAACAAGCCUAAAGUCUUACUGCCAACAAUCACAAUCAGUGCAAAAUAACAGUAGGAAGGAUGAAAAGCGUGCGUCGUCUUCUAUCAUUUAAAACUGACAACCUCGUUUUUCCGGGACGCCGAGUGGGCCGACCUGAAAUCGAUCCGGAAUGCACCAGCGCAGCUGGGCAAGCUCGGCUCGGGCUUGGCAGGCGCCGGUGCAACCUCCGGAUCAAGAAGGGCCGUUGAUGCUGCCAUUGCUGCGGUCGACCCACAGUCUCCAGGUCUGAAAGAAAUUGUUGACUGCAGGAUGUCAGUAUAAAUGAAUGGAUUCACCAAAUAUCUUUGUUACCUAUCUAUUUGUUCAUCGAAUUAUAGAGAAAUCAUGGUGUAAGACUGAAGGACCAUCGGUACUUUAGUAUUACCGGCCGCUUGGCUCACAGUUCCUUCCACACGAGCGCGAACACCAUGUCAUAUUGUGAUGCAUAAACAUUAGUUAGAACGAGUUUGGAAGCAAAGUAUUUCAAAACUAUAAUUUUUGAAUAAUCCUGUUUUAAGAUGUUAUGACACAACUGUACUAUUUUUUACGUCACUCUUAGCAAUACGUGUUUGAUGAUAAAGUAUCUCAAACUAUGGUAUUGAGUACACAUAUGUAAGGCUAGUUAUAGAUAAAAAACUUUGGAUUGGAGUGGAAUUUCAAAUUCUCCAAAAAUAUCAUAGUAUCUACUCAUUAUAUCAUGAGAAUAACCAUAUUUAAAGUAAAUGAAUAAAUAAAGGCAACCCAAUAAACUAUGCAUCAUGUUGGAUAUUUUGUUUGCUUGUGCAUUCAAAUCAUAAUAACAAUAAUAGUAGAAAUAAAAUAAUGACUGGAGAUGUAGAAUUAAACCCUAAAUUGAAGUUAGGGUUUGAAAAUAAGAAAAAAGAGAGAAGAGAAAAAAAAGAAAGGAUAUAAAAAUAUAAAUAAUAUAUCUAAAAAUAUCUCCAAAUUGGUACUUAAUUUCAUAAAUAUAAUUUGUAAUUACUAAGCCACAAGGUUUGAAUUUAAAUUGGAAUUCAAAUUGAAUUUGGGAAUAAGGAAAAAUAAGAAAGGAAAAAAAAGAAAAGGUUAAAACGCUGCUUGGGCCGGCUUAACCUCAAAUUCAGCCCAUUUUCCCUUUAUCACCGCGCGGCCCAUCUUCGUUCCGCGAGCGCGCACCGCCUGGUGGGACCCACGACACAACCUGUUUUCCCCGCGCGCGCGGUUUCCAUUCUCGCUGGCGUGUGGGCCAUCCCGGCCGGCGACAGUGGUUCGCGCGCAAGACCACCGGUCACUGUGCUGCAGGCCCUACCUUGUUAGCUCUCUCUCCCUCAACAAACUCCCCGAACUCGGCGGGAGUCCGCGCUAUAAUCGCGAAUCCGGCGACCACGACCCCUUUCCCCGACUCGUCCGUGUGGUGGAUAAAUGCCUCCCAGGGUCUCGGCCGCCGCGCAUUACUCCCUCUCCUGGCAGUUUCCGUGAACCGUGAAGGAGCGAACGGAGUGCCGUCAUGGCUGAAGCUCACGACCGCCGUCGUCGGGCUGACCCGAAUCGGCGUGGGAGCUUCGCCUCACCACCCUGAGGACAUCCGUAGUCUUGCCACACAAGUUUUGUGGUUAGCGAGGCGUGGAUUGCUCGUCGGAGGAUAGGGUCCGCCGUGCACUCGCACUCCUCCGUGGCCAACCCUCCUGUGCAUGCCAUCUUCGGUGAGUAUUCGCCCUCCAUGCUCGCGUGGUCGUCCGCUUCAUUUAAAACCAGUAGAAUCGGCAUGGGGCGCUCGGGUUUGCCGGAUUGGAGUUCGCCGGUGUUGCUUCGUCGCGUUCAGGGCGGCGCCGCCGUGCUUCGGUGAGGGAGGUAGAUGACUAGUUCUGGGUCGUGGAUGAUCAGAUGGACGGCUGUGAUUCUGCGCGCUUAAUGAUUCGCGAUGACGAAUUCGAACCGUCCGAUCUGAUCGGGCGGAUUAGAACGACUCAGGGGUAAUAAAAUCGGCGCCGUAGACUUCAGAUCCAAAGGUCGGCGUUGCGUACCGCUUCAUCACUUUUGCGGUUUGGUCCGAACCAUCAACUCGGGAUCGAACGGCGGUGAGCGCGCACCGAUUCAUAAUCUCGCCGAUCUAAUCAUAAUCGUUCAAUCGUGAUCUGGCGGCCAGAAACUAAAGAUACCCUUUUGACCAUGGCAAAAUUAUUAAAGAGUCCCUGGAUGUGUUAAUAAUUGACCCACAGUCCGCGCAGUGGCGCUCUGUGUCUCGGGUUUCUUACCCCGAGGUCCCUGUGCUUUCCAGAAAUGGAGGUCGAGUCCAGAGGAUUAGAAAAUCAGAGAAAUUAAAUUAGAAAUAGAUUUUUAAUAUUAAAUUAAUUGCAGAAACUUGUUUAAUUAAUAGAAAAUGCAUAUAAACUUCAAAUUGGUCCAUUUCAGUUCCUAAAUUUUUGUAAUAUUAUUUUCUAUCCAUUUGUGCCACUGUUUUGGCAUGAAAACACAUUAAAAUUCAUCUAGUACUUGAUCAUGUAUUAAAUACACAAAACAUUAGAAAUUUAUAACUUAAAAUCCAUAACUCCAAAAUUAAUAAUUCCAGUUCCUAUGAUCUUAUUGUAAUGUCUAGAUUAUUACUGUCUAUUUUAUUUACAUGUGUGGUGUAAUGUUAAUUUUUGCUAUGCUAUGUAUGUAUUGUGUUGAUGCGAGUAGACGAGCAAGCUAUAGAGGAUUCUGGGGUUCAGCUGGUAGAGACUGCUGAGCAGGAGCUCGUUGAAGGCAAGUUGUGCCCUUGAUCACUUCUUUUACCCAUUCAUGUUCUUAUUAAUCAUAAUGAUCUGCAUAGGAUAAUUUUGAUGGGACCCAAUAGGAUACCCUAGAUUUUGACUAUCUUUAUACCUUGUUCCACCCCUGGUUUUACUACUAAAGUUUUGGGUACUUCAUGCUAUCGCUUUAUGUGGAUUUGGGUAUAAAGAUAUUUAUCACUCAUUGUUAUACUUUUUAUUAUUUGUUUAUUAUUAUUCAUGAUAAGAUCAUUAUGUUACCACAAGGGUAUAAUGGGACGCCCUUGGCUGAUUAACUAGGAAAGCUAGUGGAUGACUACCUUACCCGAAAGGGGCAAGGACAGUAGGGGAGUGGUCAGUGUAGGGAGGUCCUUGGGUUGAUUUUGCUGCAAUGACGGUCAGGCGAGGGAUUCCUGCACUGGAGCUUCCUAUAAACUGUAGCGGGUUUUCUGAAGCUAGUGGAACUUUGUAAAGGCCUCGUAGUGGUACCCUACCUCGCUUCCUUGGUAGAGGUGUAUGGAGUCUGAUCAACUCCGUGGCAAAUGGGUAAUAUGACUUGUGGGUAAAGAUGCGCAACCUCUGCAGAGUGUAAAACUGGUAUACUAGCCGUGCUCACGGUCAUGAGCGGCUCGGACACUCACAUGAUUAAUUUAUGGAACUUAAACUUAAUUUGCCAUUUCAUUGCAUCUGGGAAUAUUUUAUUAUUACUUUUAUUUAUAUUUACUAUGGUUUGGUAUUUACUUACACUUAGUAACUGCUAAUAAAAUUUUGAUCAACUUAUAAAAGCAAUGCUCAGCUUCAGCCCUUAUUUUAUUGAUCAACCGUACACUUCAUGAACUCCCACCUUUGGUGAGUUCAUGCCACAUUAUUCCCCACAACUUGUUGAACGAUGAACAUGUGUGAGCUCACCCUUGUUGUCUCACACCCCCCACAGGAGAAGAACAGGUGGUAGAAGAGGAGUCGCCUAACACUGAGGCUUUUGGCUUGAUCUAGGUGGUGUCUCCCAGUCAGCUUUCUGGCGCCAAGGAUGGAUUUUAGAUCCUGCUAUAUUUAUUUCUUAUUUUGUAAGACUUCCGCUAUGUAAUAAAUACUCUGAUUAUAUUGUGACAUUUAUCUCUAUACACUCUAUUAUUAUAUAUGUUGUCUUCUUGGCGCAUGUAUGAGAUGCACAUGGCUUUGUUCCUUAAAGCUGGGUGUGACAGAAAUGGUAUCAAAGGAAAUGUUGACUGUAGGACGAAACCUAUAUAGAAAUGGACAAAACCCUUACCUACUUACCUUACUUUGAUUCUUUCUAUACUUAUCUUGAUCCUGUCUCACCUUCUACUGUUCUACUCUGAUCAUUCUUACCUUUUCUACUCUGAGACAAGAUGGAUUUCACACCUUGGAAUCCUACAUUUAUGACCUUCUGAAGAGAUAGGGAACCUAAGACGAAACUAAAAUUAUUUUCUCUAUUAAAAAUGUUGGUUGAUUGUUCUGAUGAUCAAUGCCUGAUUUGCUUCUUUGAUUGAUUGAAACAUUAUAGUUGGGUGUUGUCGGCGUUUCGAGACCGGGGGGUCCCUAAGCCGGCGAGUGAAAUGUCGCCGCGUGCCCCAGCCCAGAUGGGUCGGCGCGAGGCCGAGCGCGAAGGGGGGAAGUGAGGCGGCCGGAGACAGGCGUGAGAGAGGUGGAAAUCCCGCGGCCUUUGUGUUCGUCUCGCGCCCAGGUCGGGUGCGCUUGCAGUAGGGGGUUACAAGCGUCCACGCGGGAGAGGGAGCGAGCGGCCUCCCGCGAGCGCCUGUCUCGUCCUCAUCCCCGCGCGGCCAACCCUCUCUAAGAGGGCCCUGGUCCUUCCUUUUAUAGGCAUAAGGAGAGGAUCCAGGUGUACAAUGGGGGGUGUAGCAGAGUGCUACGUGUCUAGCGGGGGAGAGCUAGCGCCCUAAGUACAUGCCGUUGUGGCAGCCAGAGAGAUUUUGGCACCCAGCUUGGUGUGAUGUCGUGGCCGUCGGAGGAGCGCUGGAGCCCGGCGGAGGGACAACUGUCGGAGCUGUUGAGUCCUUGCUGACGUUCUCUUGCUUCCGUAUGGGGGCUGAGAGCCGCCGUCGUCACAGUGUAUGCGGGGCGCCAUCAUUGCCUAUCUGGUGGAGCGAGCCAGAUGGGACGCCGGUCUUGUUCCCUAUGGGCCGAGUCAGCUUGGGGUAGGGUGAUGAUGGCGCCUUCGGUUGACGUGGCUGGUCUGCGCCCUAGGUUGGGCGAUGUGGAAGCUCCUCCGAAGCCGAGGUUGAGUCUGUCUUCCGUGGCCGAGGUCGAGUCCGAGCCCCUGGGUCGGGCGAGGCGGAGGCCGUCGGCUGAGGCCAGGGCGGAGUCCGAGCCCUGGGGUCGGGCGAAGCGGAGCUCGUCGUCUUCUGGGGCCGAGCCCAAGUCCGAGCCCUAGGUCGGGCGGAGCGGAGUUCGUCGUCUUCCGGGACUUAGCCCGAGUCCGAGCCCUGGGUCGGGCGGAGCGGAGUUCGCCGUCUUCUGGGACUUAGCCCGAGUCCGAGCCCUGGGCCGGGCGGAGCGGAGUUCGCCGUCUUCCGGGACUUAGCCCGAGUCCGAGCCCUGGGUCGGGCGGAGCGGAGUUCGCCGUCUUCCGGGACUUAGCCCGAGUCCGAGCCCUGGGUCGGGCGGAGCGGAGUUCGCCGUCUUCCGGGACUUAGCCCGAGUCCGAGCCCUGGGUCGGGCGAAGCGGAGUUCACCAUCUUCCGGGACUUAGCCCGAGUCCGAGCCAUGGGUCGGGCGAAGCGGAGCUUCCUAUGGUGCCUUUGGCCGGGCCUGACUGCCUGUCAGCCUCACUCUGUCAAGUGGCACCGCAGUCGGAGCGGCGCAGGCGGCGCUGUCUUUCUGUCAGACCGGUCAGUGGAGCGGCGAAGUGACGGCGGUCACUUCGGCUCUGUUGGCUGAGGGGCGCGCGUCAGGAUAAAGGUGUCAGGCCACCUUUGCAUUAAAUGCUCCCGCGAUUUGGUCGGUCGGUGCGGCGAUUCGGUCAGGGUUGCUUCUUGGCGAAGACAGGGUCUCGGGCGAGCCGAAAAUAUGUUCGCCGCUGGAGGGGGGCCUCGGGCGAGACGGAGAUCUUCCGGGGUCAGCUGCCCUUGUCCGAGGCUAGGCUCGGGCGAGACGCGAUCGAGUCCCUCGAAUGGACUGAUCCCUGACUUAAUCGCACCCAUCAGGCCUUUGCAGCUUUAUGCUGAUGGGGGUUACCAGCUGAGAAUUAGGAGCCAUGAGGGUACCCCUAAUUAUGGUCCCCGACAGUAGCCCCCGAGCCUCGAAGGAAGUGUUAGCACUCGCUUGGAGGCUUUCGUCGCACUUUUUUGCAAGGGGACCAGCCUUUCUCGGUUGCGUUUUGUUCCGGUGGGUGCGCGCGAGCGCACCCGCCGGGUGUAGCCCCCGAGGCCUCGGAGGAGUGGUUUGACUCCUCCGAGGUCUUAAUGCCUUGCGCAAUGCUUCGGCUGGUCUGGUCGUUCCCUCAUGCGAGCUGGUCGUAGCCCGGGUGUACGGUCGGGUCCCAAGUUCUCGGGCUGGUAUGUUGACGCUGUCAACGGUUUGGCCGGAGCCAGGUUUGCGAGAGCAGCCCCCGAGCCUCUGCACAGGGCGAGAGGGCGAUCAGGGACAGACUCGACUUUUUUACAUACGCCCCUGCGUCGCCUUUCCGCAAGGAGGAGGGGGGAGAACACCAAGUUGCCCUCGGUGGGCGCCGAACAUGGUGUCUCCGGUGAGCUGCAGGCGGGUAAUCCGAGUGGACGUCCGUGCCCCGUUCGUUAGGGGUCGGCUAGGGGCCCGGAGGCGCGCCCAAAAGUACCUGCGGGUGAUCUGCCGGACCCGGUCCCCUGGCGACGGGGUCCGAGGGCUCGAUGCCUCCCUCUGAUGGGAUUCCGUUACAAGAUCGUUCCCGCUGGUCUCGGAAAUGUCCUAGGGUACCUCGGGAGCGUAGCCCGAGCCUUGGUUAUGUAUCGAACGUACCCAUGGUCAUCCCUCGCUCUGUGUCUGAGGCGGCUGUGAACCCUUCGGGGGCCAGCCUUCGAACCCCUGAUCAGUAGUGGGCGCGAAGCCCGAGUAGCCUGAGGCGGCCGUUGAACCCUUCCGAGGGGCCGGCCUUCGAACCUCUGACCAGUAGUGGGUGUGGAGCCCACGCGCUCUGAGGCGGCUGUUGAACCCUUCCGAGGGGCCAGCCUUCGAACCUCUGAUCAGUAGGGGGGCUCGGAGCCUGGUUCCUUCACGGGGAAGGAUCCUUUUCGGGGUAUCCCCCUUUCCCGGUCCCUGUUGCAAGAGAGAUAAAGGGGAAAAAGGAAAAGGAUACGAAAUCGAACGACGCGGCGUACCUUUUUUGACGCGGUCAUUAUGGCGAAGGCGGAGCGUCGCUCGCUUCCCCUGCCAGAGACGCCGCCUGCCCCGCCGCGGAGUUAAUGCGACGGGGCGAGUGGUUCGCGGGGCGGCCGUUGCGCGUGCGCGAGCCGUUCGAGGAACGGAACACGGGCACGUUGUCUUCAUGCCGUGAGAGAGGGUUCUCUCGCUGCCUCCGGAUGGGACGUGAGCUUGGCUGACGACGUGACCGCUGCUCCUGCCCGCCUGCCACCGCCAUUACUGCCGGCCCAUUUUUAGCCGCAUUGAUCGUCGCGCCAGGCUGGCGCUGCUGGGUUGUGCGCUGGGUCACCUCGAGUCGCGGUAUUGGUUCCGCAGUCGAGGAGGCGCGGCGGUGGCGCAAGUGGCGGUGCAGCUGCAUGCACGAAGCAUUCGGCGCGCCGGUUGCAUGACGCGUGGGCCUAGGCCUCCAUGCCGGGCGUGUUGGGAGUCGGAGAAGUGCGCCCACUUGGCGCGGUUGCAUGCCGCCUGCAUGGCUGCCCGCCCUUUCGCCCGUUGGUCUAGGCAAAAGGUGAGAGCCGCUUGUAACCGCUGGGCGGUUGUACGCAUCGCGCAUGGCGGUUUGGCUUCUUCUGUUCUUGAGCCAGCUUGCAUGACGUGUGGGACCCAGCCCCCGCGCCGUAGGAGGAGGGCCUUGGAGCGUGUUGGAGAAGACUCAGCCCGCGAUGGCUGGGGACGCAAGUAAGGAAAGUCGCCUUUAAAAGGAGGGUGACCCCCUUAGAAGGCGACCAUGUCUUCGCGCCUCCUUAUGCAUCGUGUCUUUCCACCUUCCAAGCCCCCGUAUGGGGGAUACCCGCCGUCUUUCCGCCUCGUCGUUGGAGGAACGCAACUCCGUGGGAGUUGGUACCUUUCAGCCAUCGUUCGGCUUCAAGGAUUUUCAUCACACAGCCCGGUUGCACCCCUCCGCUGGUGGUCACCCAAAACGGUGACCUCCAGCCCCUGGAUGGGGAGAGGCAAGCCGGGCUGUGAUCUUGGUCCCGCCCUCAGCCUCGAGGAUGUUCGUCAUCCUUGCUGGGGCGGGGAGCGAGGCGAGCCGGGGCUCUACCUCCCGCGCGGGCUGGCGGUCGACCUCUUCUUCCAGCUUCUGGUGGUGGCAACCAUCCUCCAGCUCUGCGGAGGAGACGUCCUCCAGCCAUGCCGGGGAAGGCGAACUGUUGCUGCCCAGCUAGGAUGCAACAUUCCGCGCUCUUCCUCGCUUUCGAGGCGAGGACGGGAGCGAGGACCUGCCGGUGCGCUUUGGAGCGGCCCGCUCUUUGGCUUUAAUAGCUGGUUCGUGUCCCUUGAGCGGGAACGCGAACGAGAGCCCUCCGGCGGCCGCGUCCGUCCUGGGACCAUGGCUGCUGCUGCAGAGGUCGCUGGCGGGUCCCCCAGUGCUCGUCGCCCCGCAGGCUCCCCGGUGUGGAGGUUGUACAUACCCGCGGGGACGGAACCAGAGUUCCGUCUGUAAUGGCACUUCGAAUGCCAGUGUUUUUGUUCAUCGUGGCUGUCGAGGCCUGAACAUGUAUGUAAUUUCGGCACGGAGCCGUGUUUUUUCCUCAUUUUCGAGCAUUAAGACUCGCCUGUUGGUUGUCUGAACCGCUUCACCAAGCGUGAGUCGCCUCGUGUAAAGGUGACGAGCGAGGUAUCCGUAUCCCGGAGGCGUAGGAGUCCCUCGGCUCGGUCAGCCUUGUUGUCCGAGGCUUCCCUUGCUUAGUGAGAGGAACCCCUCGGCCGCUCUUCGAUGAGCCGAGGCCAGGGGUAGCGGUGUCAGCGUGAACAGAGGCAGAGUUGGCCCGAAAAGAAGACCUGGUCGGCCGGAGCCUGGCCGGGUUGUCCGUUAGCGGGACGGACGCCGGAAUUGACCUACCGAGGCCUCGAGUCGGGCUGAUGUCCACGGGGGACAGCCGACCGAGGCCUCGGGGUGACCAGCCGAGCCGCCUGCCCGAGCCGGAUUCUCGGAGAAGACCCUAGCGGCGAUGGCCCGGGCGUGGCGAUGACGUCGUCCUUCAGAGUGAAGAUCUUCGGACCACAUCGCCGUCCGAGGCUAGGUCGGACCUCGCCGAAGGUGUUGUCGACGCCGAGGGUGUGUUGGAUGUUCCAAGCGUCAAGAUCUAAGCCUGCAGGAUCGGAUCAUCUUGUAGCGCAUGUUUUCUAUGGCCGCCGAGGCCAAAACGCACCCUCGCCGUGUUGUAAAGCUGUGUCUCCUUUCCUCUUAUUUCGAGUAUCUGGACUUUUUUGUCGGUAACAGAAUUGUUUGUGCGAGCGAGAGUUGCUUCUCACGGAAGGUGAUGAGUGAGGUAUCCGUAUCCCGGAGGCGUAGGAGUCCCUCGGCUCGGUCGGCCUUGCCGCUUACGCGCACUCUUACCCGUCCAUGGGGUUCUAUCACCGACGCAGCCGAGAAGGCUCGAAGAAUCGCUCCGGUAGAAGAGCUUCCGAGCGUGAAGACUUGUUCGGUCCGCGGAAUCACUUAUCCGAACGUGAGUUACUUAUCGCAGAAGGUGAUGAGUGAGGUAUCCGUAUCCCGGAGGCGUAGGAGUCCCUCGACUCGGUCAGCCUUGGCUGCUUACGUGUACUCCGUCGUUUUCAGGAUCCACUUUCGAAGUAGUCAAAAAGCACGAAAGACAUUCUGGCAGAAGGGAUCUUUUUUCGAGGACAAGAUUUGACGCAGAGGGGGUUCCCCCCUUUUAGCCACCGAGGGAGGGUCGGGCUUUGCCGAGGCGAGGCCGACCCUUCCUUGAUGACUAAACUUUGCGUGGGGGAGCGAGGUAUAUGAACAACUUGAAAACAUCUUAAGGGUAGAAGCGAUGUAGCUGUUGGAUGUUCCAAGCGUUGCCGUAGACCUCGCCUUGACUGUUGGCCAGCUUGUACUUUCCGGGCUUUAGAACUUUGGCGAUGACAAACGGCCCCUCCCAGGAGGGCGUGAGCUUGUGCCGCCCUCGGGCAUCUUGUCGCAGCCGAAGCACCAGGUCGCCCACCUGGAGGUCUCGGGACCGGACCCCUCGGGCGUGGUAGCGUCGCAGGGACUGCUGGUACCGCGCCGAGUGUAGUAAGGCCCUGUCCCGAGCCUCUUCCAGCUGGUCCAGCGAGUCUUCUCGACUAGCUUGGUUGCUUUGGCUGGCAUAGGCCCUUGUCCUCGGGGAGCCGUAUUCUAAGUCCGUGGGCAAGAUGGCCUCGGCCCCAUAGACCAGAAAGAACGGCGUGAAGCCCGUGGCUCGGCUCGGCGUUGUCCUCAGACUCCAGACCACCGAGGGGAGUUCCUUCAUCCAUCGCUUGCCGAACUUGUUGAGGUCGUUGUAGAUCCGAGGCUUGAGUCCUUGCAGAAUCAUGCCGUUGGCACGCUCUACUUGCCCCUUUGACAUGGGGUGAGCCACGACGGCCCAGUCCACCCGGAUGUGGUGAUCCUCGCAAAAGUCCAGGAACUUUCUGCCGGUGAACUGGGUGCCGUUGUCGGUUAUGAUGGAGUUCGGGACUCCAAAGCGAUGGAUGAUGUUGGUGAAGAAUGCCACCGCUUGCUCGGACCUGAUGCUAUUUAGGGGUCGGACCUCGAUCCACUUGGAGAAUUUGUCGAUGGCGACCAACAGGUGCGUGUAGCCCCCGGGUGCCUUCUGCAAGGGGCCGACGAGGUCCAGACCCCACACAGCAAAAGGCCAGGUGAUGGGUAUCGUCUGCAGAGCCUGAGCGGGCGGGUGGGUCUGCCUUGCGUAGAAUUGACACCCUUCGCAGGUGCGGACAAUUCUAGUGGCGUCGGCCACCGCCGUGGGCCAGUAGAAACCUUGUCGGAAAGCAUUUCCGACAAGGGCUCGAGGUGCUGCGUGAUGGCCGCAAGCCCCCGAGUGUAUCUCUCGAAGGAGUUCCUGACCUUCGGUGAUGGAGAUGCAUCGCUGGAGGAUGCCUGAGGGGCUGCGGUGGUAGAGCUCCUUCUCAUGUCCCAGCAAGACGAACGACUUGGCGCGCCGCGCCACCCGCCGAGCUUCGGCUCGGUCGGAGGGUAGCUCUCCUCGGUGGAGAUAUUGCAGGUACGGGGUCUGCCAGUUUUGAUCAGGCGUGACCCCGCUUUGCUCCCCCUCGACACGCAGCGUCUCGCCCUCGGGGGCCGAGGGUACCUCAGGCCGAACCGAGGGUGCCUCGGGCCGAGCCUAGGGUGCCUCGGGCUGUGCCGAGGGUACCUCGGGCUAGGCCGAGGGUGCCUCAGGCUCGGGCGUGUCGUCGAUCUUGACGGAGGGUCGAUGCGGGUCUCGGGAGAAGACGUCCGGGGGAACCGUUGUUCGCCCCGAGGCUAUUUUGGCCAGCUCGUCCGCAGUCUCGUUGUAGCGCCGAGCGAUGUGGUUGAGCUCGAGCCCGUAGAACUUGUCUUCCAGGCGCCGAACCUCAUCGCAGUAGGCCUCCAUCUUCGGGUCGCGACAGUGGGAGUUCUUCAUGACUUGGUCGAUGACGAGCUGCGAGUCACCGCGAGCGUCGAGGCGUCGGACCCCUAGCUCGAUGGCGAUUUGCAACCCGUUGACCAGAGCCUCAUACUCGGCCACAUUGUUAGACGCCGGGAAAUGGAGGCGUAGCACAUAGCGUAGGUGCUUCCCGAGGGGCAAGAUGAAGAGUAGGCCUGCGCCGACUCCAGUCUUCAUCAACGACCCGUCGAAGAACAUGGUCCAGAGCUCCAGUUGGAUCGGAGCCGUUGGUAGCUGGGUGUCGACCCAUUCGGCCACGAAGUCUGCUAGGACCUGGGACUUGAUGGCCUUCCGAGGGGCGAACGAAAUUGCUUCGCCCAUGAUUUCCACCGCCCACUUUGCAAUCCUACCCGAGGCCUCUCGGCACUGGAUGAUCUCCCCCAGGGGGAAGGAUGACACCACAGUUACCGGAUGAGACUCGAAGUAGUGUCGCAACUUCCGCCGUGUCAGGAUCACCGCAUACAACAGCUUCUGAACUUGUGGGUAGCGGAUCUUGGUUUCGGACAGUACCUCGCUGACGAAGUAGACUGGCCACUGAAUGGGCAAUGCAUGCCCCUCCUCUUGCCUCUCAACCACAAUCGCGGCGCUAACCACCUGAGUGGUCGCGACGACGUAGACCAAGAGGGCUUCUCCGGCAGCUGGGGGCACCAAGAUAGGCGCCUUCGUGAGGAGCGCCUUCAGGUUCCCGAGGGCUUCCUCGGCCUCAGGGGUCCAAGUGAAGCACUCGGCCUUCCUCAAGAGGCGGUACAGAGGUAGGCCUCUUUCGCCGAGGCGUGAGAUGAAGCGGCUCAAAGCCGCGAGACAUCCCAUGACCCUCUGUACGCCUUUCAAGUCCUUGAUGGGCCCCAUGCUGGUGAUGGCUGCGAUCUUCUCCGGGUUGGCUUCGAUACCCCGCUCGGAGACGAUGAACCCCAAGAGCAUGCCUCGGGGCACCCCGAAGACACACUUCUCGGGAUUGAGCUUGACGCCUUUCGCCUUGAGACAUCGGAAUGUCACUUCAAGGUCGGAAAGGAGGUCAGAGGCUUUCCUCGUCUUGACUACGAUGUCAUCGACGUAGGCCUCGACCGUGCGACCAAUGUGUUCGCCGAACACAUGGUUCAUGCACCGCUGGUACGUCGCGCCCGCAUUCCUCAAGCCGAACGACAUGGUGACAUAGCAGUACAUGCCGAAGGGUGUGAUGAAAGAAGUCGCGAGCUGGUCGGACUCUUUCAUCCUGAUUUGGUGAUACCCUGAGUAGGCAUCGAGGAAAGACAGGGUUUCGCACCCAGCAGUGGAAUCCACGAUUUGAUCGAUGCGAGGCAGAGGGUAGGGAACCUUCAGACAUGCCUUGUUUAGACCAGUGUAGUCUACACACAUCCGCCAUUUCCCCCCUUUCUUUUUCACAAGCACAGGGUUGGCAAGCCAUUCGGGAUGGAAUACCUCUUUGAUGAACCCUGCCGCCAUCAGCUUGUGGAUCUCCUCGCCUAUGGCUCUGCGCUUCUCCUCGUCGAAUCGGCGCAGAGGCUGCUUGACGGGUCGGGCUCCGGCUCGAAUGUCCAGCGAGUGCUCGGCGACAUCCCUCGGUAUGUCGGGCAUGUCCGAGGGACUCCACGCGAAGACGUCGGCGUUCGCGCGGAGAAAGUCGACGAGCACUGCUUCCUAUUUGGGAUCGAGCCCGGAGCCGAUCCAGAUCUGCUUGGAGGCGUCGCUGCUGGGGUCGAGGGGGACGGCCUUAACCGUCUCCGCUGGCUCAAAGUUGCCGGCAUGACGCUUCACGUCUGGCACCUCCUUGGAGAGGCUCUCCAGGUCGGCGAUGAGGGCCUCGGACUCGGCGAGGGCCUCGGCGUACUCCACGCACUCCACGCACUCCACGUUGCAUUCGAACGCGUGUUUGUACGUGGGGCCGACGGUGAUGACCCCGUUGGGGCCCGACAUCUUGAGCUUCAGGUAGGUGUAGUUGGGGACGGCCAUGAACUUCGCGUAGCAAGGUCUUCCCAGUACCGCGUGGUAGGUUCCUCGGAACCCGACCACCUCGAACGUCAGGGUCUCCCUUCGGAAGUUGGAGGGUGUUCCGAAGCAGACGGGAAGGUCGAGUUGUCCGAGGGGCUAGACGCGCUUCCCGGGAAUGAUCCCAUGGAAGGGCGCAGCGCCUGCCCGGACGGAGGACAGAUCGACACGCAGGAGCCCGAGGGUCUCGGCGUAGAUGAUGUUGAGGCUGCUGCCUCCGUCCAUGAGGACCUUGGUGAGCCUGACGUCGCCGAUGACGGGGUCGACGACGAGCGGGUAUUUCCCCGGGCUCGGCACAUGGUCGGGGUGGUCGGCUUGGUCGAAGGUGAUGGGCUUGUCGGACCAGUCUAGGUAGACUGGCGCCGCCACCUUCACCGAACAGACCUCCCGGCGCUCUUGCUUGCGGUGCCGAGUCGAGGCGUUCGCCGCUUGCCCACCGUAGAUCAUGAAGCAGUCGCGGACCUCGGGGAACUCUCCUGCCUGGUGAUCUUCCUUCUUGUCGUCGUCGCGGGCCCUGCCACCCUCCGCGGGUGGCCCGGCCCUGUGGAAGUGGCGCCGAAGCAUGACACACUCCUCAAGGGUGUGCUUGACGGCCCCCUGGUGAUAGGGGCACGACUCCUUGAGCAUCUUGUCGAAGAGGUUGGCACCUCCGGGGGGUUUCCGAGGGUUCUUGUACUCGGCAGCGGCAACAAGGUCCGCGUCGGUGGCGUCGCGUUUCGCUUGCGACUUCUUCUUGCCCUUCUUCUUGGCGCCGCGCUGAGUUGACGCCUCGGGGGCAUCUUCCGAUGGGCGGCCCUGGGGCUGCUUGUCCUUCCGGAAGAUAGCCUCGACCGCCUCCUGGCCGGAGGCGAACUUGGUGGCGAUGUCCAUCAGCUUGCUCGCCCUGGUGGGGGUCUUGCGACCCAACUUGCUCACCAGGUCGCGGCAGGUGGUGCCAGCGAGGAACGCGCCGAUGACAUCCGAGUCGGUGAUGUUGGGCAGCUCGGUGCGCUGCUUCGAGAAUCGCCGGAUGUAGUCCCGGAGAGACUCUCCCUGCUGCUGUCGGCAGCUUCGGAGGUCCCAGGAAUUCCCGGGGCGCACGUACGUGCCCUAGAAAUUGCCGGCGAAAGCUUGGACCAGGUCGUCCCAGUUGGAGAUCUGCCCCGGAGGCAGGUGCUCCAACCAGGCGCGAGCGGUGUCAGAGAGGAACAGGGGGAGGUUGCGGAUGAUGAGGUUGUCAUCGUCCGUUCCACCCAGUUGGCAGGCCAGACGGUAGUCCACGAGCCACAGUUCCGAUCUCGUAUCCCCCGAGUACUUUGUGAUAGUAGUCGGGGGUCGGAACCGGGUCGGGAACGGCGCCCGUCGUAUGGCCCGGCUGAAGGCCUGCGGACCGGGUGGUUCGGGCGAAGGACUCCGAUCCUCCCCGCUGUCGUAGCGUCCCCCACGCCUGGGGUGGUAGCCUCGGCGCACCCUCUCGUCGAGGUGGGCCCGACGGUCGCGGUGAUUGUGCUCGUUGCCGAGGCGACCCGGGGCCGCAGGCGCUGUGUUGCGCGUGCGCCCGGUGUAGAUCGAGGCUUCCCGCAUGAAUCGGGAAGUCGCGGCAUGAGGUUCCGAGGGGUACCCCUGCCUUCGGGAGGCAGAGCUCUCGGCCCGUCGGACCGCGGCGCCUUCCAGGAGAUUCUUGAGCUCUCCCUGGAUUCACCGCCCCUCGGUGGUUGAUGGCUCCGGCAUCGCGCGGAGGAGCAUUGCUGCUGCAGCCAGGUUCUGGCCGACCCCACUGGUCCUUCCUUUUAUAGGCGUAAGGAGAGGAUCCAGGUGUACAAUGGGGGGUGUAGCAGAGUGCUACGUGUCUAGCGGGGGAGAGCUAGCGCCCUAAGUACAUGCUGUUGUGGCAGCCAGAGAGAUUUUGGCACCCAGCUUGGUGUGAUGUCGUGGCCGUCGGAGGAGCGCUGGAGCCCGGCGGAGGGACAACUGUCGAAGCUGUUGAGUCCUUGCUGACGUCCUCUUGCUUCCGUAUGGGGGCUGAGAGCCGCCGUCGUCACAGUGUAUGCGGGGUGCCAUCAUUGCCUAUCUGGUGGAGCGAGCCAGAUGGGACGCCGGUCUUGUUCCCUAUGGCCCGAGUCAGCUUGGGGUAGGGUGAUGAUGGCGCCUCCGGUUGACGUGGCUGGUCUGCGCCCUAGGUUGGGCGAUGUGGAAGCUCCUCCGAAGCCGAGGUUGAGUCUAUCUUCCGUGGCCGAGGUCGAGUCUGAGCCCCUGGGUCGGGCGAGGCGGAGGCCGGCGGCUGAGGCCAGGGCGGAGUCCGAGCCCUGGGGUCGGGCGAAGCGGAGCUCGUCGUCUUCUGGGGCCGAGCCUAAGUCCGAGACCUGGGUCGGGCGGAGCGGAGUUCGUCGUCUUCCGGGACUUAGCCCGAGUCCGAGCCCUGGGUGAGGGGCACGGGUCAGGAUAAAGGUGUCAGGCCACCUUUGCAUUAAAUGCUCCUAUGAUUUGGUCGGUCGGUGCGGCGAUUCGGUCAGGGUUGCUUCUUGGCGAAGACAGGGCCUCGGGCGAGUCGAAAAUAUGUUCGCCGCUGGAGGGGCCCUCGGGCGAGACGAAGAUCUUCCGGGGUCGGCUGCCCUUGUCCGAGGCUAGGCUCGGGCGAGACGCGAUCGAGUCCCUCGAAUGGACUGAUCCCUGACUUAAUCGCACCCAUCAGGCCUUUGCAGCUUUAUGCUGAUGGGGGUUACCAGCUGAGAAUUAGGAGCCUUGAGGGUACCCCUAAUUAUGGUCCCCGACAGGCGUCUUAGCAUGUACCACCAUAAGGUAAUGUAUUAGCUUUAGUGGAUAACACACUAAUAUACUUAGCUAAUAAAUCCCCCGCGGUAACAUGCCUCGUAAUUACAUGUGAAAGUCGCCUAGAGGGGGGUGAAUAGGGCGAAACUGAAAAUUCUCAAAAAUAAUCACAACUACAAGCCGGGUUAGCGUUAGAAAUAUAAUCAAGUCCGCAAGAGAGGGUGCAAAACAAAUCGCAAGCAAAUAAUAGGUGUGACACGUGGAUUUGUUUUACCGAGGUUCGGUUCUUGCAAACCUACUCCCCGUUGAGGUGGUCACAAAGACCGGGUCUCUUUCAACCCUUUCCCUCUCUCAAACGGCCCCUCGGACCGAGUGAGCUUUCUCUUCUCAAUCACUUGGAACACAAAGUUCCUACAAGGACCACCACAAAAUUGGUGUCUCUUGCCUCAAUUACAAGUGAGUAUGAUCGCAAUAAAGAAUCAAGAAUGAAGAAAGCAAUCCAAGCGCAAGAGCUUGAAAGAACACAAGCAAAUCUCUCUCUCUAAGCACUAGGGCGUUGUGUGGAAUUUGGGAGAGGAUUUGAUCUCUUGAGUGUGUCUAGAAUUGAAUGCCUAGCUCUUGUAAUUGGUUGGAAGUGUGAAAACUUGGAUGCAAUGAAUGGUGGGUGGUUGGGGGUAUUUAUAGCCCCAACCACCAAACUAGCCGUUUGGUGGGGCUGACUGUCGUAUGGUGCACCGGACAGUCCGGUGCACACCGGACAUGUCCGGUGCGCCAGCCACGUCACCAAAGCUGUUGGGUUCCGACCGUUGGAGCUUUGUCUUCUGGGCCCGCCUGGAUGUCCGGUGGCGCACCGGACAUGCACUGUAGAGUGUCUGGUGCGCCAGUAUGGGCGUGCCUGACUUCUGCGCGCGCUGCGCGUGCAUUUAAUGCGCUGCAGGUAGCCGUUGGCGCCGAAGUAUCCGUUGCUUCGUUGUCACACCGGACAGUCCGGUGUACACCGGACAUGUCCGAUGAAUUAUAGCGGACUAGCCGUUGCGAAUUCCCGAAGCUGGCGAGUUCCUGAGGCGCCGUUCCUUGGAGCACCGGACACUGUCCGGUGUACACCGGACAGUCCGGUGAAUUAUAGUGGAGCGCCUCUGGCUUUUCCCGAAGGUGAUGAGUUUGAGUUGGAGUCUUCUGGUGCACCGGACAUUGUCCGGUGGCACACCGGACAGUCCGGUGCGCCAGACCAGAGGUGCCUUCGGUUGGCCCUUUGCUCUUUUGUUGAACCCAAUACUUGGUCUUUUUAUUGGCUAAGAGUGAACCUUUUACACCUGUAUAACUUAUGCACUAGAGCAAACUAGUUAGUCCAAUUAUUUGUGUUGGGCAAUUCAACCACCAAAAUCAUUUAGGAAAUAGGUGUAAGCCUUAUUCCCUUUCAAUCUCCCCCUUUUUGGUGAUUGAUGCCAACACAAACCAAAGCAAGUAUAGAAAUGCAUAUUUGAACUAGCUUGCGUAAUGUAAGUGCAAAGGUUGCUUUGAAUGGAGCCAAUAUAAAUACUUACAAGAUAUGCAUGGAUUGUUUCUUCAUUUUUAACAUUUUGGACCACGCUUGCACCACAUGUUUUGUUUUUGCAAAUUCUUUUGUAAAUCCUUUUCAAAGUUCUUUUGCAAAUAGUCAAAGGUAAAUGAAUAGGAUUUUGCAAAGCAUUUUCAAGAUUUGAAAUUUUCUCCCCCUGUUUCAAAAGCUUUUCCUUUGACUAAACAAAACUCCCCCUAAAUAAAAUUCUCCUCUUAGUGUUCAAGAGGGUUUUGAUAUAUCAAAUUUUGAAAUGCUACUUUCUCCCCCUUUUGAACACAAUAAGAUACCAAUGUUGAAUUUUUAUCAAUUGAGAAUCAUACCA
rnacentral:lncRNA from 1 species